UUUUUUUUUGUCGGAUACGGCGUAUGCAAUGCACGUCUAUACAUAGCGACCAGGAUACACGGACUACUUCUGUAGUUUCAAGAGAAAGAUCGAGAGGGCCUAGCAAAAUUUUUCUCCAGGUAUAUGCGUGCCGGGUCGUGCAAGUACACGUACGUUAGCUUUUUCUCCAGAAAAGUGUAAGUGGGCAUCCAGGUGCACCCUCACCUGUGUGAAUGGCCGUUGACUGAACCUUAAGAUUUGCUAGAGAAGAAAAAACGAAGCAGCAGCUAUGACUACGAGCAGUGUCGUACUGAACUGGACGUCCAACGGAAUUUUACUCUGGUAGUUGACUGGUUCCUCUUCGUCCUCCUCUAGCUAUCAUGUACUAUUGGUUUCUCCAAUUCUCCUCUCCCUUUCCACGCUAAACCUGCUUGGCUCUUUCUCACCGCUGGCCGUGUUCAUGAUCGACGGUUGGCCACGGCGUUUGGAUCUCGAACCAGGCACAGGGGAUAGAUCCAGAAUAUCUGAAUACAAGAACCGCUUCUUCCAGCUAGUUUACUUGCUUGAUCGAGACUGGCAGCAAUUUACGUUUGUUUCUUCAAAAAUCAAACCGGUGCGCCGUGCGCGCGUAGGUAUGUAGGAAAGCCUCUUCGACGGCCCAAAUUGACACCUGAAGAUGCACGCCGAGACGGUGAUUUUUUUUUAUAUUUGUUCUUUUAUGAAAUAAAUAGCCGAUUUAAAAGUUUGCAGAAAUAGACCCCUACCGCCGAAUUAAACGGCGGAAGUAAACUACCGCCAGUUGAAUCGGCGGUAACUUCCCCCACUGGACAGUGCACUUUUAAAAAAUUAUAACUAAUUCAUAUAAAUUCGUAUGGAGAUAAACUUUAUAUAAAAAUUGUAGAUCUCGACGAGAUCUAUAACUUUGUAGUUCAAACUUUUUUCAUUUCGUGUCAUCUUGGUACUCAAAUAAUCGACACAAGUUUAGAUCUAAAAUUCAAUUUUAGAAUUUUAGAUCUGAAAAUUGUGUCAAUUAUUUGAGCACAAAGAUGGCACAAAAUGAAAACAAUUUGAACUACAAAGAGAUAAAUCUCAACGAGAGCUACAAUUUUUAUAUAAAACUUAUCUCUAUCCGAUUUUAUAUGAAUUAGUUAUAAUUUUUUGAAUGUGUGCUGCCCAGUUUAAGAUCUAAAAUUCAUCUGAAACUUGUGUCGAUUAUUUGAGUACCAAGAUGACACUAAAUGAAAAAAUUUGAGUUGUAGAGAUCUACAAUUUUCAUUUAAAGUUUAUUUCCAUUCAAGUUCAUAUGAAUUAGUUAUAAUUUUUUGAAUGUGUACUUUCCAGAGGGGAAGUUACCGCCGGUUGAACUGGCGGUAGCUUGCUUCCACUGUUUGAUCCGGUAGGGAUCUAUUUCUGCAAAUUUUUUAAUCGACUUUUUAUUUCUGCAAAAUUGUAAAAGAAGAAAUAUAAAAUAAAAUCCCAAGACGGUAGACGACCCAUUUACGGGGAUGACGGCCCAUUUACAUGCCGCCACUCGUUUCUACUUAGUCUUCUUCUAUCCAUUGUCCUCUGAAGAAUACAAGAAACACGACAUUUUGUUUUUCUUUGGAGAACGAAGCCAGAAGUCAUUGUCGCAGACCUUCUUUUCAUGCGAUCGCAGUGGAUUCUUCCUAAUCGAGCACAGCGUAACGCCAUUGCCGCCGUCUCUCAUAGUCUCGUACCACACUGGUCCAGAAAAGAGCCCAACUAGCCCAGAUCCCAAAGCCCGCCCGCGAGAAAACACAGUCCGGUGGUGGGGGCGCUUGCCGCAUUAGCAGCAACCGAGCCCACCGCUCUGCGCCGCGCAGCCGCAAGACGACACCGGGGCGACGAGGUGACCGCCUGCCCGCCUGGUGUCUCACCCAGUCACCCUGUCACGUAGGAGUACGCUCUGAGGUCUGAGCUCGACCUGUCAAAGCCGCCGUGCGUACAGCGCCGAAACGACGCGCGCGGCCCCUGCCCGCGUCCGUGUUGCUGCCGCUGGCUGGUGCAGUGGUCAGUGGUGCUCAGCCGCUCAAGAGAGAACUGCUUCCUGGCGGACGUCGCAGCCUUACCCGAACCACCAGGCUCUCGCCAGUCGCCAGGCUCCCUCCCUCCCCUCCUUGCCCCUUUCAAACGCGGACGCGAACGCGAAGGCGAGCGGUUUCCCAGGCGAGGGGAACGAAAGGGACGCCACGUCACGUCGUUUCGGAAAUCAUGGCGGGCGAGGCAACGGUCGCCUACACCUAGCACUAGCAGUAGCAGGCUAAUAGCAGCUCGCAGUCGCAGCGGCAGCAGCGGCCACCAGCAAAUGUCACGCUCGAGCACACUGACACCGCACAAGGACUUGCGCCCCUCUCGGCUCUUGACCCCUCUUUUGUCCGGCGCGCGCGCAUGGGCCGCCUCUCUUUAUAAGCGACACAACCGGCCACAACGAACCGAGUGCCACGCUCGCCGGAGAAGCUAGCCGCGCGCAGCCAGCUCUGCAUCCGCUGCGCUUCUUUUGGCGGCGCGACGGUGGGGGUGCGCGGUGGAGAUGGCGGCGGCGACCGCUUCGUCUUCGUGGGCGCAGGCCGUGAGGAGGGCGCUGCAGGAGGGCGCCGCCACAGCGACGUCGUACGCGCAGCGAGCCCAGAAGCAGGAGGCGGCGGGGUCCGCGGCGGCCACGGUGAGGUCGGUGCAGACGCUGGUGGUGAUCGUGGCCGCGAUCGUGCUCGCCGCGGUGCUGGCGGGCGUCCUCGCGCGGGUGUGCGGCGGCCGGUACGUCGUGCCCAGCGGGGAUGACCGCGACAUCGAGGGCUGGAUCGAGAAGCGAUGCCGGAGCUGCCUCGACAGCGGGCUGCCGCCGCCGGCGCCGGCGCCGGGGUCGGCAAAGAUGAGUGAGGCCAAAUAGUGCUCUGUGCAUUGUGUUAUUACUGCAGUAGUAGUAUAGUAAGUAAUAGUAAUACUAGCGGCUGUGUAGGCAUUGCUGCAGGCUGCUGCAAUUCAGCCACGCAGGCUACCUGUACACGAGUAGUACGAGAUUAGAAUCAGGAUUAAUCCUCUCUGUAAUAUUUUUGUAAUGAUAGAUUAGUAGCCGAGAUAAACGGCCAAGAAUCGAAUGUUAGUGUCAUCGUGAGUUUUAUGCCAAGGUUAUUAUGGAAAAAUCAUACGCGCGAAUCAGUCAUCAGUGAUGGUACUACUACCAGAUGAUCCAUGUGGCCAAUGUUCCAAUAAACCCAAACAGGAACAGCACCCGGAAUACCAAUGUGAAACGACAUUUUCUUCUCAGGGAACUGAUCGGUAUUACAUGACGUGCCAACGACUUCACAACAGGCAGUAUAGUUUUGUUGUUCCUCGCACGUGUACACCCAAAGCCAAUGGAUCGAGUUUUUACAACCACAACUCCAAGUGAAGUUUAGAAAUCAUCCAUUCGCCAGAGGGGAUAGCUUCCACUAGCAAUUUCACUGAUACAGAAAAAGAAAAGGUCAGCUUCUGAAAGGCUCAGAGUCAACCAUCAGAGAGUGUAUAAGCUUUGCAGUUCUUUACCUCAGGAUAGCAGUCCUGAUGUACUAUGGUUUGGUUGUGUGGAUUAACAUGCACCACACAUGAUAUUCUCCCCUGCAAGAAGCCAAGAACAAUCACGAAAGAGUUCAGAAUCAGUACAUGUAGAUCAAAGACUGCAAGCAGGGAACCGAUAACGUGCACUCCUGGACAAUCCUUAACACAAAGAGGAAUGGGUGGUUCUUCAGUCAAAUCAGUCAUAGUGCAUAACAUACAAAUGCUACUCUAUAUUCAUCAAUCUUUUGUUUAGUGUAACAAAAAAUUCUGAGUCAACAAGCAAAACACCUGGCUAUAGCUUGUGGAGGGCUACAGUAGCGGUUGGAACUCACAGAUAUUGCAGAAACAACCAAUGGUUGGGUUACAAAGUAUUUUAACAAAAUAUACAGCUUAAAUCAAGUAACAACCCAACCUCUCAAAAAUUCCCUCCACUCGUACAAAAAAUUUGAAACAAGAAUAUUCUUUGAUAGUCUUACAGUUUUGUUACCACAGCUCUAUGUUAACAAUCCCCCUAUAUUACAGCAAUACAAUUAUACAAAUACAAACAUAGAAGUACUGCUCUAAACAUGUGAGGCAAAAAGGAUAGCAUGAAAACUAGUUCCAUCAGAUAAUUGCAGUUGUUUUCCAUAGGUUAAAUUCCAGAACCAUGCCUGCUGCAAUGGAGGAAGCGUGUUUUAUGGGGUAAAACAACCACUGCAUCCUGUAACGACUCUAUGCUUAUCGAAUCUAAGAAGGCCAGUUCAUAUUUUACUAUAGUAGAGACCACAUCAAAAAAAAUUUCACUAGCAGCAAACACAUCUUUAUGGAACAAGGAGCAAAAGCGUGUGUUGACAGCAAACAGGGCAUGUGCUGAAAAGAUGCCACACUGAGCUUUAUGGCAACCAAAGAAAGUGAAAAUAACAACUUGGUGGGACUUGGUAAGAACUAAGAGCCUGACAAGGCUAUAUGGGCCCAACAAGCACCUUAUAUUGCCAGGAAAUAGUUAGCUUUUGCUGGUAAGGAAUACUCAGAGACAGACUAAUCUCUGCGUCCCUGAGUUCCUACAGAGAACACAACAAGUUAAGAAUUGUUUGUUACAUGUUUGAUAAGCCUGAAACUUGAUGGUGGAAUCUUUAAAUGAUAAGGGGACAGGGGGAGGGGGCCAAUUGCCCCAUCAAGGUUUUGCAGUGGUAACUUCAUGGCAGAAGGGCUGGUAGGAUUGUCUAAGCACGUUAACGAUAGAUCUUAUUGAAAUGUUUUUGAUUUGCUCAUUCCCCCCAGAAGCAUACUUCCCAAACUCCCUUCCAAGUAUAAUAUCCUUUUAGUCAUUCUUGAUUUAAGAACAUCAGAUUAGGAAAAAAACAACAUGCAUGCUACACUGUUUUAUCUGUUCAAUGAGGCGCACUGUUUUAUCUGUUCAAUGAGGUGCUUGAUUGUUUCCUGACAAGUUACAGUACAGUGCAAGAGGGAUAAAAAUGGAAAGGGCAAGCUGCAAAUAUGUUGAUUAAUAGUGACUUUUUGCUUGAGCAAAAGCCUUCAUUUGGGCAUGAAAAACAAAAUAAUAAAGCAAUAUAGCAUAAAAAAUUCCCAGCAAUUCCAGAUCUAGCUAGAUCAAUACAGAAGUGGAUACCAUGAAGGUGUACAUUCAACUAUGAAAACUACUAGAGCUGUAAAUAUCAUUAAUUUUCAUGUCCAGUUGGAAGUGAAAAGUGAUAACAGUUAAAAACACACAAAAAAUGGACGUUCAUAACUCUUCUCGCGUGUUAGAUCAAUUAUUACUCUUCCUCCUAUUAGGUGCUCCUCAAGUCAUUGAUUGCAAUUAUAACUGGAAUCAGUCACUCCAGCCAAAGCUAAACAUGGGGCAUGAAAUCUGGAUAACAGAAGCCUCAACUGGAUCACAUAUUUGCUUCAAAUUCAUCAAAACAACAAUAAUUUUUGAUGACCAUGCAUUCUUAAAGUGAUAUGUUGCUGAUCAUGACAAAAACAAUGAUGAGUCAAUACAAGAUGAUUAUCUCAUUCUUAAAGUAGUUAUGGCAUAUCUCAUUUGUUCUUUGUAACGUUUAGUGACCCAUGACUUAGAGAAUUAGACCAUGCUCCCUGAUAAACAAUACACCAUGAUACCAAACCAGAUGCUUUUGAAUAUGAUGGCCAUACCAUGCUUCACCGAUGAAAGAUAUCUAGAUUAAUGCAAGAUAAUUGUGUAAACCUUAUUUCCUCACAUAAUUGUUAGCUGCAUUGUCAAAAUGCAUUAGCCAUUAUAUGGACCUUAAGAAAUAUGUCAGAUAGACUAUACGGCGUGCUAAGCUCUAGUCGGCGGCUAAAAUUCCAACUUGCUUCACCAGAUGUCAAUAUCCUAGCAAAUCUAUGUUGUAGAUAUAUGGGGCUUUCACAUUACCAAAAGAUGCAAGAGAGAAUGGCGUCUAAGCCUGAAAACUCAUAUACAGAUUCUAAUCCAAUUAACGAGAUUUGCAUAUAUUAUAUAGCCAAAGCAAUCAACACUUAGGGUUGCAGCGGCUGAGCGGCGGGCACCUUGACGGGGACGCUGAGGAACAAUAAGUGGAGGUGGCCCUCGACUUCGACGACGGUGUCGAAGGGCACGGACCCCCGCGCGAGGUCCUCGAGCAGGUAGAUCGCGUCCUCGACGACGCGUAUCCCGUCGAGCUGCAGGUCGGCGUCGACGUACGAGACGGCGCGGGCCCGGACGCGCCCGCCGCCGGAGGUGACCCGCCCGAGCCGCGCGCCGCGGUAGCCGAUGUCGACGUCGAGGCGGGAGUAGUCGAGCGCGAAGAAGUCCGGGUUGCGGACCCGGACCUUGAGCGCGGCGGAGAUGUUGAUGGCGACGGCGGGGCGCGCCACGACGGAGACGUGCGCGAGGCGGAGGCGGGCGAGGGAGACGUCCGGGUCGGCGGGCCAGAGGAGGAAGCCCGCGAGCGCGAGGAGGAAGAGCGCGGUGAGGCCGGGGGCGACGCAGCGGCCCCCGCGGCGCAGGCGGCGGCGGAGGCGGACGGGGACGAGGAGCACCGCGUAGGAGUCGGCGGGGUGGUGGUCGAGGUAGGGCUGCGGGGAGGCGGAGGAUGGGAGCAGGGGAUCCCGCUCCCCCCGGGGGGGUUGCGUGGUCUUCGCCAUGGGGAGGGGGGCCGGUGGGUGAGCGCGGGAUAGCGGGGCGGGGGUGGUGGACUGGGCUGGUGAUGUGGAGCUUUGCUCAGGCGUAGCUUGGAAGGGGAGGCCAAGGAAGAGGGGAAAGCGGUUGAUUGGAAGUUGGGAGUGGAGGGAGGCCCGCCGCCGGAGCUCGUGAGGAUGCGGGCUCCUGGUUGGUGGCUUGGCCUUGUUCGGUAGCGCCCCUAGUGCUGUCUCUGUUUUGGAUGUUUGGGUGCUUGCUUGACGAUGACGCGUGACGGUGUGAAGUGAAAGGGAAAUUUUGUGGCAGGCAGGCGCCACGCGUUGGAGAUGGCGUCCAGUUUGAGGAAGGCAAGCUCCCAAAGUCACGAGCAGCUCGUGCCUUCAUUCAUGACGAGGAGGAAGGCAAAAUCCAAAUAUGGGCGCAGCUCCUGCGUAUUUGAAAUCUUUCACCUUUCACCACAAACAACAACGCAUAACUUUUCCCCUAAACAACGGUACACAUACCCUCCUAUGCGAACAAUGUCACUCAUCUCUAUAAAUACGACGUAUAGUAUUCUACCUUUAUAUAAGUACCUCAUUCUCGACCAUAACAUCCACCACUAAUUGAGUAACUAGUAAAGUGAGAAUUUGUGCUAAAUUGAAGAUUUGAAUACGGUCGAACAAAUUACAUCACAAAAAAGUUAACCUACGAUCAGUUCUCAAGGCAAACUCUACGCAUUACAAACUAAAAAAAUCGGAAAAAAAAUCACAUAAGUGCCGGAUUCGAUACUAUUAGAGGGGAACAUUUGCACGCACAUUAUGCCUUUCGCCCUCGUUAAAUCAUGCCUCACGAUGUUUGUGUUAGUUUGAUAUCAGUUUUAAAUUUACACAAUUUUUAGGUACUACAGUAGGGACAGCUUUUAACUACCCCACUGAUACACGAAAAAUCAUUUGCGCACAACUCAAAGAGUGUUCUAGAUACAUUAGAUUGUUAGCUCAAUAACUCCUAAAUCCUAAAUUAGUUGUGUGCGGUCGGAAAUAAUUCUAUUAUUUUAAAAAUAGCUCCAAAAUAUAUUAGGGUAAUCUCAGUGCACAAUUUUAUUGCACUGUUACCAAGACUAGGAACUAGAUGAAACUCCUCUCACAUAUGAUGAAACUCCCCCUUCUUUCUCUUCAUAAAGAUAUUGCCAAGUCAGCAAAAUUGCUGAUGUGAUAUAAAAUUUAAUGUUCUUAAAAAUUCCAUUUGAAAUUGUCAAGCUAACUUGUUUUGAAUCCGACGCUCUGGUUGGUAAGGAAACGAGAAAGAAAAAAAAACUAAACGAGCUUAGUGGAAAGGCUCACGAACCGGCAGAGCUUAGUGGAAUUGCACAUGACGAGCCCCAUGAAUGAAUUUACCAACUUACUGUACAUCCCAAUACAAAGCCAUCACGAUCUAUCGAUUACAAAGUUGUUAAAGAAACAAGCAAAAGUACUAGAUCAGCUUCUUGUUAGGCUCACACUAGCCAGCUCAUUGGUACAUGUGAAUAGAGAGCGCCACGAAUGAAUUUCCAUCAAGAUAAAAAAAAGGAAAAAAUACAUCACGAUCUAUUCUUGUCAAAUAGCUCGAGUUUUUUUUUUAUAUUUUUUUAUGGGCGUUGCUAGCGCUCGGACGUCCGAUGCGAACUUUCCCAUCGGACGCUCCGUUGCAACAUUCAAAAACAACAUCUGCAACAUCGAAAGUAUGAGGUUGCAACAUUGAAAAUAUGCGAAAAUCGUUCAAUGUAAACAUCAUUUUUUAUUAAAAAAAUUCCCACCGCACAUCAACGCAUGUUUCAUGCAACAUUUUCAAACAAAAAAUCACCAUAUGAUAGGUUAAACACUUGCAACAUGUGUGCAAAGCAUAUGCAACAUCUAGAUCUACUUUGCAACAUCAACAUGAAAUUCUUGCAACAUUUUUCUGAAACAUCCGAAACACGUGAAACAUACACUUGCAACAUGCAGAAACAUCUCGUUGGCCAUGGAGACCGCUUCCCGCCACGCGCGCCCAUGGCUGCUGGCCUCGCUCACUGACAGCCUCGCUGCGCCAUGCCGGAUGUGGCGGACGGCGACGCAGAGGAGGUUGGGGCCACGCCCGAGAGGAUGCGGAUGACGAGCUCUAGGCGCGGGGGCCUCCAUGGCCGGCGAGACGGGGGCGCGGUCCGGGCACGGCGAGGUGCCUCCAUGGCUGGCGGGGCGGGGGCGAGCUUCGGGGCACAGCGGCCUCCAUAGCCGGCAAGGUGGGGGCGAGGUCCAUGCGCGGCGCCCGCCAUGGUCAGUGUGGCGAGCUCCAAGGAGAAAGCAGAGCAGGAGUGAAGGAUUUUGGGGAAGUAUAGCGGGCAACCCAGCAUGCAGCACUGCAACAAAUAGAUAACUCUCGAUUGGACUUGAGCUUGCAACUAGCUUGGUUGAAAUGAUACUUCGGGUCCGUCGCCCUGACGCCGUUUGAGUGGACCUGAGCGUCCGAUAUUUUCCGUCCGCGUCGGACGUAGGAUGGUUAGCAUUACCUUUUUUUAUAUAUCGGUGUACAACAAUAUCAAAAGAGACCGGUAAAAGAACAUAGUACGAACUACUACGUCCCAUGAUAUUACAACUCGAUGAGCUUUUUCAUUUUUGCUGAUCGGAUGGUUUAGAAAAUAGCUGUACUACACAAAAGUACCUUUCCAACUUUCUUAUAUCCGUGUGCUAGUUCAUUCAAGAGAAGCUAUCAAAUAUAUUAUCAAUUGUAUAAUUUAUGACCACCUUAUACAGUCUACUAUUCAAAUUUUAAACACCCAGCUUAUAAUUUAUAAAAACUUCACAGCUUAUAAUAAAUUGGGAGGAUCUAAAGACGUGAAGUGAGGUAUAUGAGGUUAUCCAGUAUAUGAGGUUAUUCAACAUCGCCUUGCGUCUGAUUUUGGAGCGUAGAGCAUCACAGGCUCACAGCCACUCUUCCCAAGUCAAGUCCGACCGCGACCACGUGCUUCGGCAUCUCCUCCGCCGGUGCCAUCAGCCCGGCAGCUGCGCGCCUGCGCCGUCGAUCCGCCGUGGCGGAGUCAACAGCCCUGCGGCGUGCUCCGUUCCAGAUCCCAAACGGCAAACGCCACGCCACUCCCUCUCACCGCGACGACUGACCGACCGCCAAGGACGCGCACGCUCGCUCGCUCCAAAGCCCGUACGCCACACACAAUCUAACCACGCCACGAGUUGCUGAGAAGUGAGACCGGACCGACUCGACUCGACGAACUCUUGGCUCCAAAGCUUUCCCGGCCAGCAGCAGCGUCCCUUCCCCUACCCCCGCGAUCGAGCCGUUGGAAUCGCGCGUCUCGGGCGGGAUCCGGCGCGGCCCCGGCCCCGAUCCGAUGCUCUCCGGCGGCGACGACGGCGUCCCCGACGGCAUCGGGAUGGCGCGGCUCGCGUGGACGCGCCUCCCCACCGCGGACGCGGAGGGUGCGGGGGCGGGGCCCUCCACCUCCGCGGCGGCGGCGGACGACGAGCUCUUCUCCGCCGCGGCCGUCGAGAGCCUGGACUACGAGGUCAUCGAGAACUACGCGUACCGGGAGGAGCAGGUACGCGCACGCGCACGCGCACGCGCCGCGCCCCCAUCCGCCGCUGUUCGAGCGUGUGGUUCUGGUGUGCCGUCAGCUCAGUUGCUUGUUUUGCUGGGUGGGUGCAGGCGCAGCGGAGCAAGUUCUGGGUGCCCUACUACGUCAUGCUCAAGUGGCUGUUCUCGCUGCUGAUCGGCGUCGGUGAGCGGCUCUCAGUUUGAUCCUUUGUCGUGUUUUAAUUAGUGGUUUGUCCGAUUCUAAGAGCUUGGUGUAGUAGUGGCGAUUUCAGAGGUGUGCGAGUAGAGUCUGACAUUUGUUUAUUGAAUCUGGUUUUCCUUGUGCAGUCUAGUUGCCCUGACUAAACCUAUUUAUCACUGGGAAUCUGUUUAUCCCAGUGAUAUAAACAUCACCAAAUCAGUGAGCUUAACUACACAAAAUGUAGUUCAGACGAGUCUUGCAUUUUGGAUAUGGUUUCCUCUCAUAUCACAAAUGCUACAUGCCUUUAUGUCAGCCAAAUAAAAAUGCGCAACAAAAAAACCUAACUCAAUUGUUAGGAGAGUCCAGAAUAUGAAAAAGAAAAUCGGCUGUAUACAAGGUUCAGAUGCCCUUGUAGCUUAGGCUCUAUAAUUGCUAAAAGGUGGGGCGUGGUGGUGACUGCUGCGUACCAGUUAUAAUUUAGCAGGAGCACAUAUGGGUUAAUAGUUAAGCAGGAUGUUUGCUGCUAAGGUGCACAGUUUCUGUUUAAUGAAACUUGGACAUUCUUGGUAUGCACAUUAUAUAUGGCACUGUUGCUUCUAAAUGUUAUACUGCUAUUUUUGUGAAAGUGGAAUCCUGGAGUAUCGUUUAGCAUUUGUUAUCUACCAUAAAUUACAAAUUUCCCUUAUCUUUAUUGCAACUGAAAUUUUAUCCUCUAUUUAGUUAAAAUUAAUUUUGACCAUAAAGUCAUAUUAACUAGCAAGUUGGCCCACGCUAAUAGCGCGGCUAGAUUUGAUACACUAUUUUUAUUAUAAAUUUGAUGUUGGCGUAAUCUAUUUUUUGUUCCUCCAUCUCUUGGCAUUAUUAAGUUUCUUAUGUCCCCCUGAGUCUACACAUUGUAUAUCAAGCUGUAUGCGUAGAUAUACUUUUUGUGAAAAUAAACUUUGUAGCCACAUGUGCAUAUGCAUGCCUAAUCAACAUCACUUGGUUGUGACAACAUGAGAACUUAGGUACUCCCUCCGUUUCAAAUUGUAGGUCGUUUAGCUUUUUUAGGUUCAUAGAUAUUAUUAUGCAUCUAGAUAUAGUGUAUGUCUAGGUGCAUAAUAAUAUCUAUGAACCUAGAAAAGUCAAAACGACCUACAAUUUGGAACGGAGUGAGUAGAUGAUUCUUAUCUCAUGCAGCAUUUUUUUGCGCCACCACUCACAUGAAUAUAUUAUUGCUUUUGUUGUGCUGAAUCUAAUAACGUAGUCCCCGGUUCUGUUUGAAGACCAUGUAAAGAGAAGGAUACAAAGCAAAACAAACAAUCACAUAUUCAUAUCAACUAACCAUAUGCUUCCUCUAACAUCUCAGCAAAAACCGUUUCUCCCGAUUUCAGCAUGGUGACUUGGUGAGAUUUCUCCUUACUUUCCUCCUCUCAUUCUCCUUGCACAAUCAAAGAUGGUCCUCGCCACAAACCGCUUGGAUUUGAUCAACAGAUUCAUCAUCAUCCACAUCCAUUAUUUAGAUCCAGCGACCAGCACCAUCUAGAUUUGACUUGAUCGGGUUUCAUCAUCACAUUCCACAAUCAAGGACGAUCGUCACCACAAACCCCUUAUUGUCUUUGUGCAAAACAGAAUCUGCUCUUCUUAAGCUUGCUGAACACAUCUCUCCACAUCUUUUAUUCCACAAAACCAUUGUUGUUCGGCUCCCACAUAGGCUCUUCUCUUUUUCAGGUUAACGUGGUAAUUUCUAGCCCCUAUCAGUGAACGUGGUGGCUUCUUUUAACACUAUUGUAUUAAGAUAAUAGAUAUGGACAAGCAUUGCAAUUAAUUUAUGCCAUUUACCAUUAUUUGAUUCCCAGAUAGCGAUACAGGAAAAAUUUAUUAUGCUUAAUGUUAUUAAAAUGUGCCUAUAGUAGUUCUUUUAUAUUUUACAUUAAUGUGAAUAUCUAGAAAAAUGUUUGGAAAACUUGAUGGAUUAGAGUGGGCAGCAUGUUACCCAGUUGCUGUACAAAUAAACAUCAUGAACUCACAAAUAUAGUACCUAAACAUAAAGAUUGGCUUUUGCAGGGUUCAUAAAAGAUUGGUAUAAGACUAUAAGCAUAACAGAUGUCGUAUGAUUCAGCUAAUUGGAAGCAAUGCCUCAUGAUUUAUUGGAUUGGGAAAUAGAGCCUCUAAGCAUAUAAGACGUAUAUCUGCUAGUGAAAUAUAUUUUACACACCAAGUUUUACUUGCACUGUUCCCAGUUCUUUCCACUAGUUGAUUCUUCUUGCAUUUGAUAUCAUUUUCUGUUUUGUAGGUACUGGAUUAGCUGCUAUAUUCAUAAAUCUGGCUGUUGAGAACUUCUCUGGAUGGAAAUAUACUGCAACAUUUGCUAUAAUAAAACACUCAUAUUUUGUGGGAUUCUUUGUGUACACUGUUUUCAAUUUAGCCCUUGUCUUCUCUUCUGUAUACAUAGUCACAAACUUUGCUCCAGCAGCUGCUGGAUCUGGUAUUCCAGAGAUCAAAGGUUAUUUAAAUGGUAAGGUUUAAUUACUGAAACAUCUGGUACUGAUACUCUGAGAAACUGGUGAUGUAGUUUGAAGUCUUGAUGCAGGAGUGGAUACACAUGGAAUCCUACUUUUCAGGACAUUAGUUGGGAAGGUGAAUUCAUACUUACUUUCUUCAGCUAAUAUGAUGACCGCGAACUGAGUUUCAACUUUCAACUAACUGAACUAAGUAUUAUAUUCAUAUAUGCUGAUAGAUCUUCGGGAGUAUUGGAUCAGUUGGAGGUGGAUUGGCUCUAGGAAAAGAAGGGCCUCUUGUUCAUACUGGGGCCUGCAUCGCUUCUCUUCUUGGACAGGUGGGUUUGUGAUCGAGAUCUGAGCAUCUGCAUUCAACAUUAUCUUUUCCACAAGUUAUAGAUGUGUCCUGAAAGGGGUCAUAGGUGAGUACACAAAUCAUCAAUGUUGAAAAGUAAAAAAUGACUCUUCUCUAGCAUCAAUUUAGGAAAGCCUUGGAUACCUCAAUAAGUUGUGGCAUUCAACAUGACGAUUCUUAUGUUCACACGCUGUUAACUUUCGGUGUGACCAUGUAGAAUCAUAGAACGAUUGACUACUGUAUGAAGCACACAGUUCAUACUACUACAGUCCUUCCCUGGAGUGCCUAUAUGUUGUGCUUUGGGGGUGGGGGGGAUCCGUGAUACUCAAUAUGAUGCUUACAACAUCAGUUGAUUGAUCGCUCUAUAGGCCACCUGUACUUUGAGCUACUGUUUACUGGUCCAACAUAAUUUGUACACAAAGGCCAACACCCAGCAAAAAAGAGAUAUGGCAGCAGAUUAGCCUUUUCAUUCUUCAUUUCCAUUUGGCAGUAUUUGAUUGAUAUGCUACAUAAAUGCUUAUUAGUUUAUACUGCCAACUAAUUCUAAUCUGCAUGUGCAUAGGGUGGAUCUGCAAAAUACCACUUGAGUUCUAGGUGGGUACGGAUUUUUGAAAGCGAUCGUGAUCGGCGGGACCUUGUAAGUUACUUUUGUUCAGGCAAUUUAUUAACUUACCCUCUGUGUAGCUGUUAAAUAGAGUCACUCAUGACUAAUUUUGUCACUCUACGUUUAAUAUUAAAAAUAUCUUGAAUUGAUGAAUUCAUUGGUUUCCUCGUGCCAUUUAGUUUUACUUUCCAAUUAGGCCAUCCUGUUGACCUAAAAAGAUUGGACUGGACUGUGUAAACAAAUGCAAGCCACUCGUAGCCUGUUUGCAGCCCAGCAGAAAGUUGAGUCUAGCCUGGUUCCAGAACUAUUUGGGUAGUACAGAAAAUGGAUACUGUAUUAUUUGCUGAAACAUUUACCAUACCUUAAUAAUGUUGAACAAGAUCGUCUGAGUGGAGUGGUUCACAUGUGAAUGUUUUCUUGUUUGGCAUGCCAUUCAAUUGCAAGACUUGAUUACUUAGGCUUUAGACACUCAAGUCUAUCCUUUUUUAUCCUAGUGUUAUCAAAUAGCAGGUAUAUCUGCUUGCAAUGCUUAAGUGGUUAAAUGGCCCAGCUGCUGCUUCUCUGUUGAAAUGUGAGGGCUGAUAGGAAGCACCACUGUCACCCUUCCUUGCUGGUGCAUCCUUAUCUAUCACAUCUUAUUGCUUUCAUAAUUGCCAGUAUAGAUAUGUAUGACAACCAGAUAACGUUUGCUAGUACCCUUAACUUCUCUUGAUCGGUCAACCUUAAAAAAUUCAUCGGAUUUGAAUUGUCUAGAUAGAUGAAGCUGUUUCAAGCUUCUUUUUUCAUGUGGCCACUUAAUCUUUUUUUUGAGGUUAUACAACUUCAAGUUCUUUAGCCCAGUCAUGUUGAAAUUGUUAAAGCAUUCCCUCAAAAGAAAGUUGUUAAAGUAAAGCAGAUUUUUGCCAUCCUCAGUUUAUGGAACUAAAAACCAUAAGGAAAAAAAAAGAAAACAAUACAGAAAAUUAAUAAUUGAAUAGGGAAUAACCUCCUUUAAAUGUUGAUGCAUUGUUACAUAUAAUGUUGAUUGCAUUCUGAGCUUUUCUUUCAGAAUGUAUGGAUUAUAAUAUUGAAAACUCUCAAAACUAUUAAUAUUUCAAAAAGGUGACAUGUGGAUGUGCAGCUGGAGUUGCUGCAGCCUUCAGAGCUCCUGUUGGUGGGGUACUAUUUGCCCUGGAGGAAGUUACAUCCUGGUACGAAUGCUCUAUUACAUUUUUUACGUUCCUUUCAAUAGACAAAUUGAAACACAUAAUUGUAAAAUUAGCGAUUUAGAGCAACAAUAGUCCAAUUUCCAAGCUUUAGUUUACCAAUCAUCUUUUCUGAAUUUAAGAAACUACUAUUAGUUGAAGAAAUAUUGUGUUGACAAAUGAUAAUAACCAGCGCUAACAGCUCAGCUUUUGUUUGCCAACACAUAUAUUUCUUUUGUUACUUUAGCUGCUGGCAACAAUAUCUUUAGUACUAAUGCGAUUCGCCCUAUGGUUGAUUGUAACUAGUUGAAAUAACAAGAAAUGCUUUAGUAGCAGCUUCUGUUCGUUCUUGUCUCUCUGGUUUGUCGAUAACAAUAUUCUUGUUAAGUAACAUAACUUUUAUGAAGAACAUACUUAUACUCAUUUCAAAGGAUCAGUGUAUAUAUAUAUAUAUAUAUAUGUGUAUUAAAGUUUGUUGUAGCUAAAAGAUAGAAAAUUGACUGCAUGCUCCCACAUGGCGAAGAAUUUGUGUCCUGGUGCAUUUAGUGUUUCCGUGCUUACUAACUAUGGCUGUUAUACACUGCCUCAUGAUAGGCUGCGAUUCUGCCUGCAACAUCAUGAGUGCAUGAUUGCAAGGGUGCAAAUUAAUUCUAGAUUGAAUUCCAGAACAUUCUUUGAAAUAGAAGUUUAUCAGGAACUGACUAUUCGCGUAGUGCCACCAUCAAGAUCUGCAUGCCAGAACUCUACACUUAACGAGAGUGUUCAUUGUGUGUGUGGACUUGGUCAGAGGGUGGUGGGCUGCCCUGAAAUCCCAUUUUGUCGUGUUUUCUUACUCUUUUGUUUUUUCAUGCUUUUGUGUAGGAUAAAAUCGAGAUUUUAGUCCUUACUUGUAGUAGGACAUACCCGAGAUAUUGUGAAAUAUUAAGGUCAUCAUUUCACAGUUGUCUUUAUUACUAUCGAUAUUUAGUACCCAAGUGUUCAUAUUUCUGUGCAGCAACCGUUCACACUGCAUACCAAUUGAUAUCCGUUGCUCUACAUGAAAGCUUAUUUUAGAUGUCAGAAUAAUGUUUUUGAUUUUUGUGGGUACUUUUACUUUGACCUAGAGGCGUAAAGUGGAUACAGAUUAUUCAUACUGUAUUCUAUAGGAUGUGAAUAUUGUUUAGAUUUUGUUACCCGAUUAACAGUUUAUCUCCUAUUCACCAUUGGGAAACUUUAUAGGAAUAUGGGUGCAAAUGUGGUAUGAGGUUUGGGGGUUUGAAAAUGUUACUUUAUCCUGACUACUAUCAUAUUAUGUUAGUCACAUUUGCACGCAUAUUUUAUUGCAGCAUGUCUAACUAGCUGGGGUCUUACAUUUUAGUGUGAUUCAUAUUUCUUCUUGUGAAAUAACUAAAUUAAAAUGAUUAAUUGCUCUAUAUAUCAGUAUGUCUUUAAUGCCGGGAUGCAUAGAAAACUAUUAUGUUAUCCAUGUUUGACCCCAAACUGAGUGGAAUUUCGAUACAUAUUUGUGUUUGAGUGUAUUCAAAUUCACAUAGAAAAUACGAAUAGAGAUGUUUUUAAUCACUGAUUCGUAUUUGAUCAGUUUCCACCUGUACUUUGACUGUAGAAAUAACAUAUUGCUACUAUAAUAUUCAUAUUCUGCAUUGGACUACAAAUAUGAUUGUGUCCCCAUUAUAUUGCUGAAGGUGGAGAAGUCAUCUUAUGUGGAGGGUAUUCUUCACAUCUGCCGUUGUGGCCGUUGUGGUGCGUUCAGCAAUGAAUUGGUGCAACAGUGGAAAGUGUGGUCAUUUUGGAGCUGGAGGUUUCAUAAUCUGGGACAUAUCUGGGUAAGAUAACCCCCUUGCCCCAAAUCAUAUUCGUGUUGCUUCAGUCUGGAAAUUGCAUUUGUGAUAUUGAUUGUUCAUAUUCUUUGAAGAGGUCAAGAAGAUUACUCAUAUCAGGAACUGUUUCCCAUGACAAUUAUUGGUGUUAUUGGCGGACUUCUUGGUAAGUAAUUGUAUGCGAAGUUGAUCCUGUGUAUCUACAAAAGCCAAGUCAGGUUUUGCACAUAAUAAUAAUUUCUAUACUGAUUAGGACAUGCUAGUCAUUUAAAACAGCCCCCGUCUUUGCAUAGUUUAUUGUCUUCUCAUCGUGCUAGCUAAUAACCAGUUUAGGGUAACAUAGUUGCAUUGUUACAAAAUCACUGUGUGUCUGUCCGCUCUUAGGCUGCACUAUACCCAAUUCUGUGUCAGCUAGUUAAACUGCUCUUUGGCAUCUUUGUAGAGACUCCUCUAGCCAAAGUUGGAUGAAGUUCUAUGGGAAACAUAGUGCUAACUGAGUGAUGCAUGCUCGGAUGCUCCAAUCCUGAAAAGUCAUAUCCCAGUAGAUCCAAACCGAAUAAGCAGUCCUAUUACAUGUCUCAUUCUUUGUCUAAUAUUCCUGAAUCUAAUGUGCUAGUUUCUCUUUAGGAGCAUUAUUUAAUCAACUCACCCUUUAUAUAACUAAAUGGCGGCGGACAUAUCUUCAUAAGAAAGGGAAACGAGUCCAGGUAUGCUGAAGAUAUGAUGGAUUUUAGUAGUAGAAUUGCAUCUGUUCUCUGUAGUCCUAUCUCUGACAUCCAGAUUAACAUUUUCAGAUCUUUGAAGCCUGCCUUAUAUCUUUGGUAACAUCCACGAUUUCCUUUGUGUUGCCACUACUAAGGAAAUGCAGCCAAUGCCCUCAAUUAGAAACUAAUUCUGGCAUAGAAUGCCCUCAUCCACCUGGCACAGAUGGGAAUUUUGUUAAUGUGAGAUUUACUUAGUGAAUUUCUGCUCGACUUGCAUGUUCUCUUCAGCUACAUCAUCAUUUGUUUUCUUCUCUUAAUCUUUUGUUUGCAUUAUGCAGUUUUAUUGUUCAAAAGAUAAAGAAUACAACGACCUGGCAACCAUUUUCUUCAAUACCCAGGUUAAAUAUCACUGGAGAACUUUUGUUAGUCUAACGUUUUAUUGUUUCUAUAUUCGUUAUGGCUUCAUUCAACAUCAUUUUUUUGCAGGAUGAUGCAAUACGUAAUCUUUUCAGUGCAAAAACAUUCCAUGAAUACAGUGCACAAAGCCUGAUCACCUUCCUGGUACCGUCCCCCCCCUCCCCCUAAUUUGCCUAUGUAAUAUUGGACUUCCCUUUGUGGCCGUUUUUUUUGUAGGUAUGAUUGUGCUCUAGGGCUGGAAAAAACUAUAUUUUGCUGAACUUUUGGUCAUAUGUAUUUAUUUAGGCUACAUUGUUGUCACUGUUAUUUGCUGUACUCUUACAGGCCUGCUUUACUCUGCUAGGAUUCAAUUUUCAUCCUAAGCUGUUUUUUUUAUUAUGUGUUGUAUGAGGAAGAAUUGUUAAAAGUAUCCAUCGGAUGCAAAUAGUGAUUAUAAAUUGUAAUCUCUCAUAGGAACUUAGUUGUCUGUGUCUUAGUAGGGCGUUCAAUCAGUACUCCUGUGUGUUUGAGGGGAAAAAGCACAUUCUAUCAGUAGAAUAAAAUUUGAUAGGUUACCAUUUUACUGUACAGAGAUCUGAUACUGUUGUAAGAUCUACCUUUGGUUGAUCAAGCAACCAAGUUGGCUUUGCUGAAAUCUGAUGAUUAUUUCAUGAGUUCUUUCAUCUACUUAUGUUUACCUUUACCCCCUUUGGGUCUCAGGUCAUGUUUUACUCCUUAGCUGUCGUGACAUUUGGAACUGCUGUUCCAGCUGGUCAGUUCGUUCCAGGAAUAAUGAUUGGAUCUACGUAUGGACGGCUUGUUGGAAUGUUUGUUGUCAAGCAUUAUAAGAAGCUAAACAUCGAGGAGGGAACGUGAGUCCUCGCAUCCCUUUGUAUCCGCACAUGCAAUAUACCCAUUUUAAUUAUGCUCUAAGCAUUUUGUUUUUUGCAUUGGAUUGCAUUGGAUAGACCUUAAUGCCCAUUGGGAAUGCCCAUUUGAUAGUUUGUUGGCUAAAACUUAACAGAGUCUCUAUUCAUUAUCAAUGUUGUUGUAGGUACGCGCUCCUUGGUGCUGCAUCCUUUCUUGGUGGUUCAAUGAGAAUGACUGUAUCUUUAUGUGUUAUCAUGGUUGAGAUUACAAACAAUUUGAAACUCUUGCCAUUGAUCAUGCUUGUUCUUCUAGUUUCUAAGGUACUAACUCUGCAAUCCAUGACUCCUAGUUGAACAUAAUGAAUAGAAUAUGUCUGCUGAUUUCAGUUUAUGUAGGCGGUUGGUGACUUCUUUAACGAAGGGCUAUAUGAAGAGCAAGCCCGAUUAAGGGGCAUCCCUUUACUGGACUCCAGGCCUAAACAGGUUAUGAGAAAUAUGAAUGCAAAAGAUGCCUGCAAGAACCAGAAGGUUAUUAAGCUUUGUACGCCAUUGACCUAUUUAAGUGGACCAUGGAAAUUACCAUGUAUCAGUAUUAUUCCAAGUUCUAAUGCAUCCAAUCUUCUGUCACCUAUGUCAGGUUGUCUGCCUACCUCGUGUUUCAAGAGUCGUCGACAUUGUUUCUGUUUUGCGAACCAAUAAGCAUAAUGGUUUCCCUGUAAGUUUCCUUGAGGGUUGUCAAAACAAGACAAAGUUUUCAUGUGAUUUUCACCGAUUCAUUUUCUUAUCUCCUUUUCUUGGUUCAGGUUGUUGACCGUGGGCAGAAUGGCGAAUCAGUCAUAGGUCUCAUACUUCGUAGGUAAGAUACAAUGCUAUGUGUUCUUGAACUUUGCUGACUCAUGUCCCUGUGGUUAAUAUUUGGGAAUUGGGGAUUUCACAAUUGCAUUCUGUGAACGAGAAUCUAGGUCAAUAGGUUGUAAAUCUACAAGAUGAGCCAAUUGGCCAGGAAGAAUAUCUAUACUUUCACACACACACACGCACGCACGCACGCACUGACCUUGUCAUCCUCUUGUUGCAGCCACCUACUGGUACUUCUACAAGCUAAAGUAGAUUUCCAGAACAGUCCUUUCCCUUGUGGGCCUGGCGUACUGAACAGGUUUGCAAUCCGUUGUCUAUAAUCCAGAAAUAGCAUAUUCGAUGCACUUAUCUCUGGUAAUAAUUGAUUAUUUUUGCUGUUACAUAGGCACAAUUUUAGUGACUUCGUUAAACCAGCAUCAAGUAAAGGAAAGUCAAUUGAUGAUAUUCAUUUGACAGAUGAUGAACUGGGGUUAUAUUUGGAUCUUGCCCCAUUUUUAAAUCCUUCACCGUACAUAGUGCCAGAGGACAUGUCAUUGGCGAAGGUAAAUCAUGCUUUGUUUUUGGAUUAUACACCCAUUUCAUGAGUUAUGUAAUAAUCAUAGUAUCAAUGAUUUCAGGUUUACAAUCUCUUCCGCCAGCUUGGAUUGAGACACAUAUUUGUUGUCCCUAGGCCUUCUCGUGUUGUAGGAUUGAUAACCAGAAAAGAUUUGUUACUUGAGGUGAUAAGUUAUACUUUUAUUUUAGUUGAUAUUUUUAUUAUCUGGAAUCCCUUCCAAAUGUUGUUGUUGUAUUUCAGGAGGAUGACAAUACUGUGAUGGCGGAGCUCCAAUCGACGAGUGUAAGGUUUUGAUGUUCCUCCUGUCCCCCAAUUAUUGUUUAAUCUGCAAGCCUGUACAUUGCCACAAGGAACUUAUAUUUUGUUUGCAUUUGCUUAAAACCUGAGGUUUAAAUUAUCGCUCUGCUACUGGUGGUGAACUUUGGUAUUGCGUUUGGAAGGCUCUUGGUGGUGAAGCCCUCUUAAUAUUUUAUCAGCAGCGUAGAUUUUUGGUUAGAUGCUCUUGACAUGCUAGAGCAAAGAUUUUGAAAGGCUAGAUUUUAAAUCAUUGAAAAAUUCUGGUUUCAUUUUUUUUUGCAGCACUAGAUUCAUUUACACUCUUAUUAAAAGAAAAGGGUCUUUAUACUAAGAUUGAUAAUUCCUUUCGACCAGUUUGGAUUGAUAGAGUUAUUUUGAUCCGCAGGGGCUUGCUAAAUGGCAAACUGCUCGGCAGUAAUGCACAUCUGGAACGUCCUCUUCUUGACGAACUUGUGUUUGAGUAGAUACAUAGCAGCAUACGACUUAAGAUAAUUUUGAUAGCAAGCAGUUAACCAUCCACUGCAUAUUGGGCCAUGGCUAUUCCCUCCAAUUUUACAUGAAUCAAGCGGCACUGAGCGGAUCACUUUGCUGUGCCUGCUGCGACUGAGGUAAUUUCUCCGUGCCGUGUGUUUAGGUUAGGUGAUUGUAACUUGCACAGAAAUGUUCAUACACAUUAUCCAUGUAUCCUACGAUAGAUUUCCAAGGCGCUGUGUUAGGCGGUUGUAAGUAGAAUUUUGUAAUGGGUGAUUGCGAUGGUAAAGACAAAAGCUACUGAUGAAUGAUGAUUGGCUUGUUCUUUUCCUGAAGUUGUGUGGUAUGCCGUAUGCGGCUACUUGUAAAUUUCCUUCAGUUCCGCUCGGAAUAGCUCCGUUUGCAUUCCCGAGUCCUCUCGAUCUGUGUUUGCGUGCUUGGAGAACGGAAGCUGUGGCUGGCUGCCGUACUUGAGCUCCUGAAAUGGCUUAUACAUGUGAGGUGAGUACCGACGACGAUGAUGCGUGAUGGUAUGGGCAAGGCCUAGGUGGGCUAGGUAAGGAUUGUCUAGAGAUUGUAUCCAUCCAACAUCCAACAACACAAAGGAGUUGUUGGUAUGUAACAAGUUCAAGACUGUAUAGGUGAGGAUCAGGUUUCGCCAAAAAAAAAAAAGAUUGCUGCAAUUUAAAAAAAACAGUUUUCUUAAAAUAGGAAACAAAAAAACAUACAGCUAUAAGGACAACAGAAGAAGGCUCAGCCCGCCGUUCAAGAACGACAGAAGAAGGCCUAGCCCACAAUCCAAACUUCGUCGAGCCUUUGGGCUUUGUCGUCUCGGUUUCCCUUUCUUCUUUCUUCUACCCCAAGACGAACUCGUUCACUCGUCCUGAACUCUUCCGGUUCCUCCCGUGUCCUCUAUAUACGACUCGCCUCGUCGCCCCGGUACCCGUUCCUCUAUCCUCGCGCAGCAUAGGAGCACAAGCGAGGAAUCCAGUCCAGCCCCAGCAAUGGAGUGCGUCUUGGGCUUGGUCGGCCGCGACUUCGCGGUGGUGGCGGCGGACACCUCCGCCGUGCAGAGCAUCCUCGUCCACAAGACGGACGAGGACAAGGUGAUGGUCCUCGAUUCGCACAAGCUGAUGGGCGCUUCGGGGGAGCCUGGCGACCGGUAGGUUCUCCGCCCUCGCCGAUCCGUUCGUUCGGCGGCGGCUCCACCGAUUACACCUUCCCUUUUCUAGGGUUUUGCGCGCGCGCGCGAUCUGAUCCCGAUCUGGCUGGGUUUCUGUGCGGGUUCUGAUUGUGGUGUUUCGCUUGGCGCAGGGUGCAAUUCACGGAGUACAUACAGAAGAACCUCCACCUGUACCAGUUCCGCAACACCAUCCCGCUAUCCACCGCCGCCACCGCCAACUUCACCCGCGGCGAGCUUGCCACAGCCCUGCGGAAGGUACCGAUCCGAAUCAAUCUUAUCCCUUAGUGCUACUUGAUUUGCAUGCAAAAGGGUCGAGUCUUUAGAGCGCAAAAGGGUCGAUCGAGGAUAGAUUAGGGUUAGGCGUAGUCUGCUGUAAGUCCGAUUUGGGUGAGUGUCAGGUUGACUUGAGAUUAAGGUUGCAGUCGAGGGUGAUUACAGAAUCAGUUUAGUUGGGUGAAGGGGGGAUGAUGAUUUCAUUAAUCCAUGGGCAUAGGUGGUGUAUUGAGGAAUUAUUAUGGGCAACCGAAACAAGGGUUAUAUUUGCAAGCCUAAGAGAUGUGUGCCUGUAGGUUUUCUCAUGUAAAGUUGAGUAUUCUAAGCACCUUAAUAAUUUUCUGAGGUGGUUUGUGGAUGAACUGGUUCAGUUCUAGUCAUUUACUACUGUUUAGUAAAAACCUAACAUGUUAUUAAAAAAGGAAUACCAAACUGAUGCCAGUUGCAGAUUUAGUGAAAUGACUCAAGCAUGCUAUAUUUAAUGCCUCUGUACGCCUUUGUGUUGUUUUAGGGAAAUAUAUGAUGUUUUCGUAUGAGGUUUGCUACUGGAAUCAGCUAACACCAUGCUGUUCAUUUAUGUUCUAGUUUUGAACUAAUUUGUAUGGUCGAGAUUCCAGUUAUUUGAAUUGUAACACAAUUGUGUGAUGUGUACUUGUUACAAAAUUCUUGGGUGUUGGAACUCAUACCAUGUUGUUUAGUCUAUUCCUUUUCAAUAUUGUUCUCUUUAAGCCAGAACUGUAAAAAAUUUUUUUAUCACAUCGUCUCUUUGCAGCGUGAUGUCCUCUAUUUGGCAUAUCUUAAAUUUAUCUUUUGGCAAUACCCAAAUAAGUCUGAAGAUAAGUCAAAAGAAAACAUAUUUGCAUAUUAGAUGGAAUAGCAUCACUUUGUGCUGUGCGCGCUUUAUUUUCAUUCCCCAACAAUUUUAGUUGUACGUUUCCAGUUUCCAGCAGUAGGUUCAUGCUCAUGGAGCUCCAGUGAUACCAGUAAUACAUGUGCUUCUCAGUUGACUCUGUGCUUUCAGAUUGACUGUUGCAAUAGAUGGUCUUGUCCAUUGUGUUUCCAUUCAGGAAGAUGACCUUUUUGUGUUUUUCCUGUCAAUCAUUUCUUGAUACUAUAGGCUAUUUUUAAGAUGAACUCAUGGUAUAAUUGCAACCGAACAGUAUAUUGUCUUCUCUUAUUUUUUUUAUUUGAUCAGUAAUGCUUCACUAUAUAUAGGGAUGCAAUUUUGUAUCUUGUUAUAGCAAUAUGAAAUUGAUGAACCUGGAAUAUUUCUAGACAAAUUGUGUAGUGAACGAGUGAUAUUGCAAUAUUUGCUUGUGCUAGAAUUUCAUUGGCCUCUAAUUGCUAUAUAACUUUGAGGGGGCACUGGGCUGUUUUCAAGAAUUCCGGCUAUUUGCCCUAUUCCCGUGAGGCUUACUGGAGAGUAGAAAUCUUGGCUCUUGUAAACUGGCAAACUUUUGUCAUCCUCCUUACUUUUGUGGCACAGAAGGCUUUUAAUGCUUGCUCAGAUAUGAAACACGUUGUGUAUUUCCCACCAUUUAUGAUUUCAUAUUUUCAUUCAUAAAACAAUUUGCAGUCAGUGUCCAGUAAUGCUUUCUUUUUUCUUUUGCUGUUGUUUCAUUGAUAACACAUUUUUCUUCAUUUUGUCUGCUAAUAUCUAUGUCCUCUUUAUUGAGGUCCUAUAUCCCUGACACAUGCUUCAUGUUUUCCCCCUCAGAAUCCAUACAUGGUCAACGUUAUACUCGGUGGUUAUGAUAAGGAUGUUGGUGCUUCCCUGUACUACAUCGACUACAUUGCAACCCUACACAAGAUUGACAAAGGUGCCUUUGGGUACGGCUCCUAUUUCUGCUUGUCGCUGAUGGACAAGCUGUACCACCCGGACAUGACUCUUGAGGAGGCAGUGGAUCUUGUUGACAAGUGCAUUAAGGAGAUCCGCCUGCGGCUGGUCGUUGCUCCCCAGAACUUCGUGAUCAAGGUUGUGGACAAGGAUGGGGCGAGGGAGCUCGCGAGGCGUGAGCUCGUAGGCGACAGUGCAUCAGCGGAAGCUGCAGCAGCAACCACAGUGGCCGCCUGAGGCGUGAACUCGUUGGCAGUUGGACAUUGUUCAUUGUUUCUCAGCGCUGCUACUAUGUAAACCACAAGAUACUUUUGGGGUCCCAGAACUGUUUUUAUCAAUUCUAGCCCAGGCGUGUAACUCUGUUUCUGCACUUUUCAUGUCUCUGCUGAGUACAAGUAGUGCUUCCCGCUUUACAAUGCUGUGUGCCUCUGCCUGUGUGCUUGUUCUGAACACUGAAAUAAAUCCAAAAAAAAAAUAAUCUAAUGUGCUACUUGCUGAACAUCCUUCCCUGCUGAACGCUGCAGCGCCGGCCCCAUGUCUGGAUGCUGCACGCAGAGGGGAGGCUGAGCGUGCGCGUCCGGUCGACGCGGAGCGCGGCGCUGAGACACCGCGGCCUCGACCGCGCCACGGACCUGAGCUGCGAGCAGCACCGGCCAAGCGCCGUCGCCUCGCUGCCGAUGCCGCUCAUGUAGUCCACGCACGGCGACAGGCUCACCAGCGCCGACGUGCACCCGCUGGCGCCGGGGCGCCCGGUAGCCGCCGCCGCCACGACGAGCAGCGAGGCUGCGGCGGCCAGGAGCCAGAGGGGCGCCGCCCUUGCCCUCCCACGAGCAGCCAUUUUCGUCUAGCUUGGGUGCGGUGCGGUGCGCUACUGCCUGGUUUGAGGCUUUGAGCCUGGAGCAAUGUCGUGCACUAGUGCUGGCUAUCUUGUUCCCAUCUGUGUUUGGCGUGUUGCCGCUACGUGUCCCGUUCUUACUCGAUGUUGUUGCUACGGAAAAUCUAAGGCGCACCUCGGGGAACAGGGGAAGCCUCCAGCAAACCAGGGCCGAACUACAAGGCCGGUGGCUCCUUGAAGGUGCGAGUUCUACCACUCUGUCAGAACUCCAGAGUUUCUUUUCUCUCCGUAUGGCCGCAGUUUCUGAUGCGCGGUCGUGCGGAGACGAGGUCCCAUACUCCAGCUAUUUCCUUGCUUGUGGGAUGCCUUCAGGUGAACCUCCCUGGCCAAAGUAGAAGGCAAGGAGCAUAGAAAACCAGGUUGUAGUUGGGCAAGGAGAAUGAGCUGCCGCCACCUCCCGGCUGCAAAUUCACAUAAGGGUAGUUUUGUAUUUGCUUCAGUAAAUGCGCUGCAGAUUGGUUGUUGUUCAGACUGAAAUCGGAGUCCUCCAUUCUUGACGGUUUAGACGAGGCUAAUCCUAAGGCGAAUUUUGCUGCUUUCUCCAUCCUUCAUUGUACGGCUUUAAAAAAAUAAAAGGGAAAAAAAUUUGUGACAAAGGAACCAUGCGGUCAAUAUCGCAAAUUUUGUUUACUGAUUACGUUUUACUGUAUGUGUCAGAGUUUAGAUGUCUGAAAGUUACACGAGUAGUUUUGUCACGAACAUGAGUACUCAUGGUAUGUUUUAUAGGUAUAUCGUAGCAAAAAUGAAAGAUCGCAGCUUAUUGCCACUCCACGUAUGAGGCGAGAGGAUAGGUGGGUGGAAGUGUUGACGUGUAAGUGAAAUAUCUGUUUUACUAAAAAAUUAUGUGUUUAGGGCCAACAUGAUGAUAUGUGGUCGCACAAUAAAAAUGGUGGUGACGAGGUCCAUUUGACCUCUCCUAUGAGGCCGCCUUGCAACCUUUGAACCCGCAACAUAGGAUAAGAAUGACUUCAAGUACUGAGAUUAUAUUUGAGAGAAUUAAGAUUAAAUUUCUCAGUUAAGAAUGACUUUUCGAUAAGUGAAGCAUUUGGGUUGACCGGCCCAGGAACAUUUGAACCCGCAACAUAGGAAAGAUAACGCAACACGAUUUUGAAAAUGCGACAUGACGAGUGUAAACGAACAUGGCAUAUAUAUAAACCGGCAAAUUUAUUGCGACCCUAGGAAUCAACCAAUCGCACAAGAAAUAACACAAAUCCGUAGAGGCACACACGCAACACUCAAAAUCCUCCUCCCCGAAUGCUGAAACGGAAGUUUCACACGACGCAACAACGCGUCCUGAAACCCUGAAUCACCACGCUUCACGCAGCAGCUGACACGGCGUAGACCGCAGCUGACACGGCGAGCCCGAGCACCAGACCCGCCGGCCCCCGGAGCGCCGCGGCGCCGGAUGGCAGGGACGGCGUCGCCUUCGAUCCUUCGCCGCCCGACGAACCUGCACCGAUCGAUCCGAUCACACGACGAGUUAAUUUCCGUUCAGCAACGAGCGAGAUCUCCAAAAGAGCAGAGCGAUCGGCGUGAGAUGAAUGGCGCCGGGCAGUUUGCCUCCGGUGGGAGCGGGGCGCUUACCGGCGUUGCACUGGCUGGUGGGCGGGGUCUGGACGUUGCAGGCGGCGGGGAGGCCGAGCGCGCGCUCCCGGUCGAUGGUGACGCCGCCGAGGGAGGACGAGGCGCCGCCGCCGAUCGCGGCGCAGAGGCACUGCGGCUUGGACUGCACCACGGACUUGAGCUGCGAGCAGCACGACGCGCUGGGCGACGACGAGCCGUUCCCGCUGAUGUAGUCCAUGCACGGGGACAGGCUCACCAGCGCCGACGUGCAGUCGCUGCCGCCGGAGCCGGAGGACUGCGCCGACGCCGCCGCGACCAGCACCGCGGCCAGGAGCCAGAACGGCAUCACCCUGGCAACCAUUUUCUUGCUCGGAAUUGCUACUGUCUGAUCUGAUGUGAUCAGUCAGCUUGCCCAGAAGUACUUUUGGCUGAUGUGCGAGUCUGUUGCGCUGCUUUGUGUUGCUUUUGGGCUUUGUGGUGGUGUGGUUUUUAUAGGGGUGAUUUGGGAUGGAAGUUGAACGAGUUGGUAGAUGCUGGUGAGCUGCCGGUUCCUACUUCAUCAGGAAAUUGUAGUACCAGUCCAAGUCGUAGACUAUUUGAUCGAGUUGUUACGGAUUUUGUUUACUAAAAUGUGUGGCGAAUUCGGUGCUCAGACUGAAAUCAGGUGUUGAUCUUUGGCGUGUUUGGUGAGGGCAGCAACGGUACUGAGUAUCUUAUCAGAGUUUCGUUGCUUAGUAUGUUUUUGGUUUAUUAGGAAGCUGCUUGUCAGCUUGUGUCAGCCUCACAACUGGCAGAGACCAACAUCAGUAACAUAUUGUUUCCACAUAACGAGACGGUGGUGGAGCCCGGCAAUGAUCUCACGCCCGGAGACCGUAGACCGUAGAAGCGGGAACUGACCUGCAAGAUUUCGUCAAAUCUUUCUAUUUUUUGAACAAAAAUCAUCCAUGUUUCUUAAGCUGAACCCAGUCCUGCAGUGCACAAGACAACACACAAAUGCAGACUCACAUGUUCUUUGAGGACAAUCUAUUUACAAAGUCGUGUGACUGUGUCAGGAACACUGCACAAGUCUACCGACGUACAGUUGCUCAUUUGCACUGCCGUGGGCUACAUAUGCCAACUUUUAUGUUGCCUGCUAACAGUGACGUCAAUUACAAUUAUAUUUUUUUACAAAUACAAGAUCUGUGCUAUAGUUAAUGAGAAAACCGCCAAAACUGAAUCUACAAUUUGUUCUUUCUCCACAGGGCCAAUCCGCAACCUUUUCUUUCUAUAGAGGCCUCAAAAGCGGGUAAUCUUCAAGGAGCUCUCGUUCUGACAAUGUGUCGUUCUCAUUUUGUGGAGUCCAUAGGACCUCGACUGCCUGCAAUGAAGAUAAACCAAGUGUCAGGCAUCAUUGUUAUAGCAUACGAGUAUCAACCAAAUGCAGACAAUCACCUUGAUUUAAAAUAGCAGGCUAGCAAAAUGUUGGCUCUUUUGAUGAUUUUUCUUCUUUUCCCUUAUUCUUAUUUUAAUUUUCCACUUUACUUUUAGUGUGAAUUCAUGAGGCUAUUGAUGGUUUCAAAGCCCCUAAAGAUCAAAUGGGGUUCUCUAUUUUUUUAGUCAUAAAAAUGUCUCCAACUUCAGCAAUAGCCCCAAUGGAUAGAGGGCUCCCUAGAGACUUGGGAGUGGAGGGUGAAGGGGGGAAUUUGGAUUUGGGAGUGGAGGGUGAAGGGGGGAAUUUGGAUUGUUAGUAGAGGGCCUGCUGGAGUACAUUUUUUUGACGUGGCAGAGUAGAGGACUGUUUAUUUUUUUGACGUGACCCUCUAAACUUAGAGUAGGGGACUGUUUAGAGGGCCUGCUGGAGUUGCUCUAACCUACUCAACUUGCUUGCUAAAUGAUUUGUAAUCUAGCAAGAUGUCGCUUAUUAGAUGUCCCUAUAACAUGCCACUGAUUUGCUGCAAUUUUUAUUUGCUGACUAGAUCAGGCAGCCUUGUACAACAUAAAUGGAUUAGAUAGCUAUUUGGACCAGCUGGAUGAAGUUUUGGAGCAAAUACAAUUUUACAGAACUGUAGAUGUUGGUGACUGAAACCAGGUUGCUGUCAGUUCACAUUAUUUUACAUUUUAACACCAAUGCAAUCAACAUGGAAUGAAUCACGAGUAGGGAUUGUAGGACUAGAAUUCAAACUUGAUGACAGAACAAGAGAGAUUCAAACUUGAUGAUAGAACAAGAGAGAAAAUAAACAAGCAAGGAAUACCAGUAUUUUGCUUGAUGGUAUGCCACCAAGAUUUUGCAGAGCUGUCUUCAAGUCAUUGCUGCUAUUUAUAACAGGUAGCUUAUAUACUCCCUCGGCAGCAACCAGUAUGGUUAUCUACAGAUAUGAAUAAAAAUGCUUAGAUAUAUGGUGAGUAAAUACUAGCAAAACAGCUAAUCAGAAACACUUAAUCGCUCAAGCCUAUACACACUGUAAAUCACAUACCCCCUUUUUUACAUUUUAAAAAAAUCUUAAUUCUUGAAUGGCAAGAGGCAUCCUGAACUGUAUCAGGAAAGUUUAUGAAGAGGGUUAAAAUGUAUAGGCUAAUAAUGCUGGUUGAUAAAUCACCACACUGUUGACUGAUAUAAUGGGACAUUCCGAACUGCACAUCAUGAAGGUCCCAACAUCACUGUAUGCACACAUAAGAUACUACUUGACAAGCAUGGUGCCAUUUGGCUACAUACCACAAUGUACUCAUUGCUGAAGCCACUUGAUCUUUGGCUGCCUGCUUUAUUCCUCUUGAUGCUGUUCACGUUCACAAGCGUCUCUUCAUCAAACUUGCCCCUCUCCUCAAUUGAUAGUUGAUUGAAACGUUUCUCCCCAUCGUCCAUACUUCGUUUCACAUCCACCUUUAGAACAAUAAAUGAGAUUACAUAAGACAUUGGAACAAGAAACUUACUGAAUUCCAAACCAAUUUGACCUUGCCACUAAAAACAUGAUAUGGUACUCAUGUGUGGAACAUUGAUAUUACUUACAACACAAAAAAGGACUUUAUGACCAUAUCAUCACUGAUGAAAUAAAAACAUGUAUGGAAAAGUCGUUUUGCAUUCUUUUUGGGGAGGUGUGCGUAAUAUUACAUUUUUUGCAAGAUAAAUCGCAGAGUUACAUCAUUUUAGUGAUCAAACAUUUGAAAGCAAGAGACAAACUGCAAUCUAUUAAAUAAGACAAACAUUAUAAUUGAAGCAAAAAGUGUGCUUACUGAUGAGUAAGCUGAGAUACAGCAAUCUGGAUGCCGAAGCAAUGCCAAUGUUGUCUCUAUAGAACAGCAUAAUAAACAGUUAGCACGAUAAACAGUUAGCACGAUUUCAAGGCAAUAGCAAAAUGGGUGUAAGUCUUAUAAAAAAAUCUAUUGAAUUUGUUUAAGAAACUAUGACUCAUAAUGUAAUGCAGUUUAAAAUACAUACACAUACUAGAGUAUAUCAAUCAACAGUACCGAUUUUGUAUCAGGCAGCAUGCAUCAUCGCCAAAAUGAGAGAUUGUUAAAAAAAAAGGACUGUUGUGGCAUACAGAAGGACACAAGCACACAGGAACCACCAAAUUUCCACCACAGAUACAAAUUGUGUCCAUCAAAGUGUGAAAGUGAUCCUUACUAACAAUCCAAGGGGAACAAGAUUCAAUCAAUAAAGAAAGGAGGUAAAAUAUAUGAGAACAGAAUGCCAACACAGAAAAUCACUUUGAAAGCAGUACAUUACAUUGAAUUUCAAAAAAACAACAAGAAGAAGAAGAUGAUGAAAAGAACUAUGCUACCUCGAAAUAAUUGGACCAUACACCAGAAAGGGAUCUGCUAUAGAUCCGUUAGGAUCCUGUCUCCCAAAGAGACUGAACCAAGCCCAUUUUCAUCUUGGUACUUACCACGGGCAAUCAGAGUGUGUCAUAUCCAAUUUUGCCUUUUUUUUCUUUCUCUAAUGUGUGAGCCAAGCUAGUUCGUUGUGACAUUAAUAGCUCUAUUGCCUGGAUUUUACUCCUGCCACUUACACCACCAUAACUCCAGAAGUAAAAUGGAGCAGCAUAUAUGAUUUGGUUUUACCUGUCAACACAUAGCUCAACCCAGCCGGGGUGGAUGUAUCUGCUUUCUCAGCUAUUUGAUCAAGCUCCUUCUGAAAUGAUCGGGCCAUACCCAGCAAGCCAACCUGCAAACAAAUGUUAACUUAUAGAUUACAAAAGUUAUCCGUGGAUUCAUCUUUUUUACACAUCGAGUGCUAUUUGUGAACCGGUAUGUUCUUAUUGACAUUUGGUAUGUACUGCAAACAACGUAAUUAAUAGAUCUUAUUUGACAACAAUUGUGUAUCAACGUCUAUCAUGAUCUUGUUUGGUAUGCACUACUAAUAACGAAAUGAAGCGAGCACAUCUUAGUUUGCAGUUUUUGUACAUCUAGGUACAGUGUGUACAAAUGUCUAUCAUGAUCUUUAUCCGAAAAGCAGCACAACAGACUACUUGGUGAAGCUUCAGUGGAUAAAAUAUACCAGCUAAGAAGAGUGCGCGUGAGACAAAUCAGCAAUUUACAUCAAAAUAGUCUUAAAUAUGGAUUCUGGCCUUCUAGGCGAUGUAUCCAGCUGGCCACAUGUCACACUAUAUUACAAUGCAUUUGGGCAGUGGCUUAAACCAACAUGUUAAAAUGAAGUGCGCACCAAAUUAGGAAGUUGAUUAUAGCUUGGAUGAAAGAGCCCGAUGAAUAGCAUUUUCCUUACAAUCAAACAGCAGGCAAUGUAACAACAUUUCAUUUGCCAAUUUGCCCGCUUACCUAUGAAGUUAACACGGAAAUUGACUCAAUGUAGUAAUGUCUCUAAUAAUAAAAUCUUAUCCCCAAAUAACAGCGAUCCCAAACGUACCUGUAGCUUGAGGACGGUGGUCUUCUGCGUCUCGGUGAGCACGCUCCCGUUGCCGGGCGAAUCCGACAGGAACCCGGCGAGGUAGAGGAACGCGGCGAAGCCCAUGAGGGCCAUGAGGAACCCGGAGCCCCCGAAGCCGAUGCCGACGGCCGGGCCGACGGAGACGAAGGGCGAGGGCGAGUAGAAGGGCGCGGAGGUGUACCCGCCCCUGGGCGCCGGCGCGCUGUACCCGUAGGAGGGCGGCGAGGAUGAGCGCGAGGAGAAGGCGGACCCGCCGACGCGCCCGCCCGAUGCCGCCAGCGCCGCGGCGUGCGGCCCGACCACCGCCGGCGCCGCGGCGAGCAGCGCGCCGGCCAGCAGGAGCGCGAGCGCGGGCCGCUUGAGCGCCGCGAGGGAGUCGAGCACGGACCUCCUCAGCGCGUCGAGGGCGAGGAGCGGCUGGGGCUGGGGCCUCGCUGGUUCGUCCUCCUCCGCGGCGGCGGGAGGCGGGAGGCGGUGGUGGGCGCGGAGGGCGGGGAGGCGCGCGGGCCCGAGGAGGAGGCGGAGGCCGCGGUGGGGCGGGAGAAGGGGCGGGCGCGGGAGAGGGGACGAGAGGAGGCGCGUGGCCUCGAGGAGGGAGGCGGCGGCCAUGGCGGUGUCAGCGGCGGCGCGGGUCGCGUGAAUGUGAUGAUGCGGAGGCGGAGGAGGUUGGGUACUUGGGUGGGGAGCGGGAGGGAUUUUUUUGAGAAGUGUGUGGGGGAGGAGGAUCAGGUUCAGGUUGAGGCUGCGGGCUGGGGAUGCCGACGUGGCCGACGACCGGCGGCCGGGCGGCGGAUGGGAAUGGGAGCCUUCCGCGGCAAGGAUCCCAGAUCAGACCAUUUCCAUUUCCCACACCGUGCCGUAAAAGGAAGGCAGGCGACGGCCCAGAUGGAGCCUAACCUGAAAUCAGAAGGUGCACAUCGUGCCUUCCUACCGUGCACCUCCAGCUCUUCCACUGCUUCCCCAUCUGGUUGCCGCCACUGCAUACUUCACCAGCGGCGAGCUCGCGGCAGCACUCUGCAAGACACUAACCCGGAUUAAUCUUGGACGGAGAUUCUUUCAAUUCGUGGUGUUCAGAAAUCAGAACAUCCAUUGCUCAUCAGUCAAGUCAUAUUUGUUUGGCAGUGCAAAUGUACGACCAAUCAAAUAGUUACAGGCCAACUUCAGCUCAUCGCUUCAUCUCCUAAACUAGAAAGAUGCAGAAACAACUAUAGCACGCUGAUGAACAAGAUUGUGCCAUACAAUACUGGAAAUUAACGUUAAUCAAGCACACAUGCACCAGUUCAAUGAAAAAAGGAAAUCGCUCAAGGUUUACUUCUGCUAGUACUACUUCAGCAAAUUUUAUCAGGGGCAUCUCAUAGUACUGCACUCAGUUCUAGCACACCUGCAGGGCCCUGUUAGAACGAAUAGGCCAUACUCGUUGAUGGAGAGGUACAUGAACUGGUUGAUGGAAAGGAAAGCACCAUACCAUCCACGCAUCAGUUCAGUACUAGCACCAGAUCGACUACGGUAAGUAUGUUACAUUAAAACUACACCUAGGGAUGUCUACAGACACGCGAGAGCGAACGCAAAAGGAGCAUUUCCACAGGUAGCCCCAGGCCACAGAUUUGUCCUUGGCUCCAAGCUCCAGUACUACAGCAAAAGAUCAAGUACCCCGGGGAAAGAAAAUAACUAAACCAUCUUCAAGCCCAUGCUGAAAUACGACGUCUAGCUUCACUCUUCGUCAGAGCGCAGAUGGAAGCGGGCUCAGUCCCAUGAGAGGUUGAUCAUCAUGGAGUUGGCCAACCUGGCUCUUCAUCCAGGUCCGACAGCAAAUCCUAGGUACAGUACACGAUCAGAAAGAAUAAGCAAGGGAACAUCUACACCAUAUUACAGCUGAAAUUUUAAGUUUCCAUGCAACCCUACAAGCUACAACUACAAUUCAGUACAAGAAUGAAAGAAGGGUGUCAAAAAUCAAAAAUACCUGGAGCAAACAGUCUAGGCGAACCAUUCCAUUCCAGCCACGCAUCAUUUCCCCAGUGACAGGAUCAAUGAAGAGGACCAACCCUUUGGAGGCAGAUUCCUAACAAAUCUCGAGGCGUUCCGCCACGUGCUCGAGAACCUUUCUGGCACCUUCCGUGUCAAAAUCGCUGCCGGCAAAUUCUGGAAGAAGGCCUUUCGUAACAUUAGUCCUUGUACAGCACCGCUCCAGAUGUUAACAGCUCCUUAUAUUCCAUGAGCGCUCUUACGGUUUCAAAACAUCCCGCUUCAAAUCUGUCGACCAUCUCGACGGCUUCGUUCAUCUCGUCCAUGAGCCUCCGGCAAUCGGCCUUGACGCACUCCUGAUGGAACUUCAACAUCUGCGCGGCUGGGUAGUUGAAAUCAUCUAUCAUCAAGCUCAUCUCCUCCGUGAGGAAGUUGAUCGCCUCUUCAGCCACUUGCUCCACGGCUUCCUCUCUGGUAGUAGCCUGAGAACUUCCAUUUAUCUUCCGGUUUAGCGGCGGCCCUCCCGCCGCGGCCGGGCAGUACCACACCAUGGCUUCGGCAGUGAACGCCCCGUCGUCGGUGCUGUCCCGGCAGAUGAACUCCGCCGGGUGCAGAGCUAGCUCCUUCCAGACCUCGAGCAGUAUCACCCGGCGACUGAUCCGGACGACACGGGCACCUACAUGCAUUAGCAGACAGUCUCAGUUUAAUUCAACCGUCAUUAUAUUUUGGUUAAGCCCGGAAGGUGCAGAGCGGCAGUGCGUGAAUGAAGAGGAAGAAGCUGGGCACGGGGGUUCACCUGCUGCUGGACCAUCCCCUUCCGCUUUUGUCUUCACUCUUCAAUGAUGUGCAGGAUCUCUCUGGAUGGCCGGCCGGCGCGGCGGCCUUGUCGAUUGCGUUGGCACCUCCGCGCACUGGUGGUAUGCUUGGCAAUGGCAUGCAAACGCCACGAGUUUCUUAUUUGACCUCUUCGCCUUGUGCUAGGUGUCGGCGGAUUCGCGCGCGGGUGCGCCCAGCCGCGUAUACGUGGUCACCCGCAUUGCCACGCGCGGCGCGUGUAGAGCACCCGCGGCCUGCAUGACGUGUAUAGUUCGUUGCCAGGUGCCACGGUGAGGAGCGGCGCUCGCGUGCUUCCUUGGCGGCGUGUCAACGUCGGCCGAGCCAGCUGAAUGCCCCUGUGUGGUAUUCCAUUGAAGCUGCUAACAAGAAUUUCUUCAAAAAAGAAGAAGAAGAAGCUGCUGCUAAAGAGUGUUCGGAGACAGUACUUGCGAUAACUUGGGAAGUGUUGCAAAUAAUAUUGCUUUGACCUCGUCCAAAGCUGGAGGCGGGAAAAAUCCCACGCAUGCACUAGUGGGCCAUACGAGACUUGCCUACGACGUGGGCACAUCCCUGGUUAUGGACGAAGUGGAGCUGCCCAUCGUGGGGCUUUUUAGCAGUUUAUCUCCUAACCUCUUUUUACUGAGCCUAUAUAUAUGUAAUCAUCAUUGAUUAAUAAAGACAACUGAUUCACUGUUCAUCUCCUUUCUCUCUCGAAUCUUCCUCUGUUUACGUUCACAACACGUUAUCAGCACCUUAGUUCUCCGCUGAGCAGAAGAAACGAGUUCGCCGGAAGUCGCAGAGGAUUUAUACGGGAGUCGAUCCGAUGGAUGAAGAGUUGUGCCUUGUGGACAGCUGUACCACAAAUACUAUACUUAGGGAAGUCAAAUAUUUCCAAACUCUUACAAAGAGGGAGGGACAAAUUUUGACCAUCGCAGGAUGCGAUGCUAUGAUAGUUGGUUCCGGCAGAGCCACCAUCAUACUUCCAAUGGGUACACAAAUUGAUAUCGAGGAAGCAUUAUUAUAUCCUGAUUCAACACGUACCCUACUAAGUUAUAGAGAUAUCUGUAAAAAUGGGAUUCAUAUCAAAACACAUGAAGAAAACAAAGAUGAGUUUCUCAUCUUGACUAAAGAUAACGGAUAUGGCAAACAGACACUCGAAAAGGUGCCUUCUCUUUCAUUCAGAUUGUACUACACAUACGUGAAACCUGUACCACAUGUUGCAUACAAAGUGAUUUUUCAGAAUGUGGACACAUUCAAAACUUGGCAUGAUCGCCUUGGCCAUCCCGGUGUCAGGAUGAUGAGAAAAAUCAUUAGCAAUUCACAUGGUCACGGUAUGAGCAAUAACAAAUUUCCACAACCAUCAGAUUUUAUGUGCACCUCAUGUGCAAUUGGGAAAUUAAUUUUGAGACCCUCACAUCUCAAAAUACAGGCUGAACCACUCAAGUUCCUUGAACACAUUCAAGGAGACAUAUGUGGACCUAUUCAACCUUUAUUUGGACCUUUCAGGUAUUUCAUGGUUCUAAUAGAUGCAUCCACAAGAUGGUCUCAUGUGUGUCUAUUAUCGACACAGAACUAUGCUUUUGCAAAAUUGAUAGCACAAGUCAUCAGACUUAGAGCAAAUCAGCCUGAACACCGGAUAAAAUCAAUUAGGUUGGAUCACCGGAUAAAAUCAAUUAGGUUGGACAAUGCAGCAGAAUUUUCUUCCAAAGCCUUCAAUGAUUAUUGUAUGGCCUUAGGAAUUGAAGUUCAACAUUCUGUACCAUAUGUCCAUACACAAAAUGGUUUAGCUGAAUCUCUCAUCAAGAGAAUAAAGCUUAUUGCCAGACCACUAUUGCAAGAUUGUAAUCUACCAACCUCAUGUUGGGGUCAUGCAGUCCUACACGCUGCGGACUUAAUACAAUUGCGCCCAACUGCAUACCAUGCAACCUCCCCGUUGCAAUUGGUUCGUGGUGAUCCUCCAAGUAUUUCCCAUCUAUGGAAAUUCGGUUGCACAGUAUACGUACCAAUCUCACCACCAAAGCGUACAACUGUGGGCCCUCACAGGAAAAUGGGGAUCUAUGUGGGGUAUUUAUCUCCGUCGAUUAUUAAAUACCUGGAGCCCCUUACAGGGGACUUACUCACAGCCCGGUAUGCUGAUUGUAUCUUCAACGAAGAUCAUUUCCUGGCAUUAGGGGGAGAAUUCAAGUAUCACACUGUAUGCCAGGAAAUAAAUUGGGAUGCUAUAGACACCCUAAAGGAGGAUCCUCGUACCAAAGAAUCCGAACUUUAAGUUUAAAGGAUUAUUGAUUUGCAGAAUGCUGCAAACAAUUUGCCAGAUUCAUUUGCUGUUGACAAAAGUGUCAUAAAAUCCUACAUUCCAGCAAGGAAUGUGCCGGAAAGAGUAGAUGUACCAAAUAAAACUAUUCAACUAUCUUCUCAGAAUGAGAAUGAGAGAAGUACGGCAAAUCCUCGCAAGCGCACGAGGAAACAGAGGACAGAAUCCUCUAAAACAGUAAAUGCGACUCAACCUCAAGUUGAGAUACAAAGAGUGGAUUUACCCAAUCCACCUCCCACAUCAACAGUGCACUCAAUUUCUGAUGAUGGGACAUUGGAACGCCCCGACGCAAUCGUAUUGGGAAAUACCGAGCCGUCAGCUGAGGUGCUUGAGAUUUCCAUAAACUAUGUUGGUUCUGGAGAAUCAUUUGAUCAUAAGACUACAAUUGUCAACAUAUACUUUGCCUCAUCAGUUGCCGACACCAUCCAAAAUGAUCCAGAUCCCAAAUCCAUGGUAGAAUGCAAGAAGCGUUCGGACUGGAACAACUGGAAGGAAGCAAUUGAAGCAGAGUUAGCCUCCCUCAAGAAAAGACAGGUAUUCUUAUCAGUGAUACCUACACCUCCAAAAACCUUCCCUGUGGGUUUUAAAUGGGUUUUCGUCCUAAAGCGGAAUGAAAACAACGAGGUGGUGAGAUAUAAGGCGAGGCUUGUAGCACAAGGGUUCAUGCAGAGACCCGGCAUUGAUUUCAAUGAAACAUACUCUCCAGUUAUGAGUGGAAUCACAUUCCGAUAUUUAAUAUCGCUGGCAAUCCAAAAGCGUCUAUCUAUGCAGUUGAUGGAUGUCGUGACUGCAUAUUUAUAUGGGUCACUAGAUUCGGAUAUAUAUAAGAAGGUUCCUGAUGGAAUCUCUAUACCGAAUGAAAGCGCAAAUCGCAACAUGUAUUGUGUAAAACUUAAAAGAUCAUUAUAUGGUCUUAAACAGUCGGGAAGAAUGUGGUACAACCAACUGAGCGAGUACCUUCUGCAGAAGGGAUACUCCAACAAUGGUGAUUGUCCGUGCGUCUUCAUCAAGAGAUCCCCUACGGGGUUUUGCAUUAUAUCCGUGUAUGUAGAUGACUUAAACAUCAUUGGCAACACACAAGAUAUUGAUGAAGCCCGAAAUCAUCUUAAGACGGAAUUCGAGAUGAAGGAUUGGGGUAAAACCAAAUUUUGCUUAGGUUUACAAAUCGAGCACCUUCACCCGGGAAUUUUAGUGCACCAGUCUGUUUAUGUACAAAAGGUAUUGGAGAAAUUCAAUAUGGAUAAAUCAUAUCCAAUAAAAACUCCCAUGUUUGUUUGAUCUCUUGAUCUAGAAAAGAAUGUUUUCCGACCACGGGAGGAAGGGGAAGAGGUACUGGGUCCAGAAUACCCUUAUCUCAGUCUCAUUGGAGCACUCAUGUAUCUUGCAAAUGGUACCAGGCCUGACAUUGCUUUCGCAGUGAAUCUGUUGUCAAGACAUAAUGCCGCCCCAACAAAGCGCCAUUGGACCGGAGGAAAGCAAAUCCUUAGGUAUUUGAAUGGCACUAAAGACCUUGGAUUAUUCUUUCAGAAAACCCAAGACUCCAAUUUAGUUGGAUACACUGAUGCUGGCUAUAUGUCUAAUCCCCACAAUGCCAGAUCACAGACAGGAUUUGUAUUCCUACAUGGUGGAACAGCCAUAUUGUGGAAAUCAUCUAAACAAACAAUGGUGGCCACCUCCACGAAUCAUUCUGAGAUCAUUGCACUAUAUGAGGCAUCACGUGAAUGCGUGUGGCUUUGCAGAAUGAUAAACCACAUAGAGCAAUCUUGUGGUAUUGGUCCCAUUGAAUCACCCACCAUUAUCUAUGAAGAUAAUGCUGCUUGUGUUACACAGAUGAAAACUGGCUACAUCAAGAGCAACAUCACUAAGCAUAUUGCUCCCAAGCUAUUUUAUCCACACGAGCUUCAGCUAAGUGGAGAUAUAAAUAUCUUGCAGACAAAGUCUUGCGAUAAUCUCGUCGACCUCUUCACCAAGUCCCUACCAUCUUCCUCAUUCGAGAAAUGCGUUAAGGGCAUUGGUAUGAGACGUUUUCGAGAUUUGCAAGCUUAAGGGGGAGUCUCCUUGAAUGAUGAGCCUAGUUGACAACAUCACGUUGUACUCUUUUUGUUUUAUGAGUUUUACCAUCAGGUUUUCUCAUAUUAAGUUUUAAUGAGGCAAUGGGUAGCACAAAAGAUGUCAUAUCCCAUUUUUCCCCCACAGGGUUUUUUUAGGGAUAUACAAGGCAUAAGUUACUCCUUAAACUUUACAGGUUUAUAACAGAGUAAUCAUAACAUAAUCUAUUCCUAAUUUUUCCCACAGGGUUUUCAGAGGAGUAGAAUUACAACUUAAUCAAGCUUGGACUCGAUCAAGGGGGAGUGUUGCAAAUAAUAUUGCUUUGACCUCGUCCAAAGCUGGAGGCGGGAAAAAUCCCGCGCAUGCACUAGUGGGCCAUGCGGGACUUGCCUACAACAUAGGCACAUCCCUGGUUAUGGACGAAGUGGAGCUACCCAUCGUGGGGCUUCUUUAGGAGUUUAUCUCCUAACCUCUUCUUACUGAGGCUAUAUACAUAUAUGUAAUCAUCAUUGAUUAAUAAAGACACCUGAUUCACUGUUCAUCUUGUUUCUCUCUCGAAUCUUCGCCCUUGUUUACUUCCCACAAAACUCCCAACUUUGACACUAUGCAAAAAGAAGAUUCCCCAUCACAUCAAACUUGCGGUACAUGCAUGGAGUACUAAAUGUAGACGAAAUCAAAAACUAAUUGCACAGUUUUGUUGUACUUUGCGAGACGAAUCUUUUGAGCCUAAUUAGUCAAUAUUUGGACAAUAAUUCACAAAUACAAACGAAACGCUACAGUGUCGCAUUUAUAGCAAAAUGUCAAUUUGGCACCUCCCAACUUUCCAAGUAAACAAGGGCUUCCUACCCGAACGAAAUCGGUACUGGCAGCACGCGCUGCGCACCCCUACCCGAACGAGCACUGUGGGGCAUGCAGGUGCGGACGCGGCUGGAUGGGCAGAUGGCACGACAAAACGUGGAAACCCAAAAGCGCCCGCGAUCUCCGAUGCUCCUCUAAUCCGGCCUGGCCGCCUAGCCUAGGUGGGCGAUGCGAGUGCGGGUGCGACCGCGCGGGGGCAGAGCUAUCUUCGGAUACCUCCGAGCUGCCUGAGAUAAGGCGCGGCGUCAGCAUGCGCUCAUGUUGCUGCUCAUGAGCUCAUCACCAUCUUGCGGGGCACGGCAACGCGUGCGCGCACGGCGCGCCGGGCCGGCCGCCAGCUGGCCUAGCUAGGUGCGAUGCGAGUGUGACCGCGCGGGGGCAGUAGCUUCCCCUGGCCCCUGCCUGAUCAUACCGAUCUCUCCUUAUCCUCUGUCACUUUUGUCAGAAAUUUCAGUAUCUUGGCAGCUGGUCUAUACGGAGGAAAACAAAGUCCCGGCGAGUGUGUUUCUAGUCUAGUACAUAAUGUAUAAUACAUACUGAUACUGCAUUGUAAUUUGCUCCCUGUGAAAAUCUCGAAGCGGGUGAAAUCACAAAGCAGUGUAUAGGGGAUCGCCGUCAUGCUAACAAGCAACCGCUAGUACCCCGGACCCUUUUACUUGGUAAGUGGUAUAGUGCUAGCUAACAAAGUUAGAAUGCUAUAGGAUAAGAUGCCCCUGGAUCGGAGCAGUUCAUCUUGAUACCUCCGAGCGGGGCCACAAGUCGGGCUCGGGCAGCCGACGAAAGGCAUGAACUCAUCAGUCGUCACGCUGCAGCGAUGCACGCAUCAGGAAUUCCACACCGGCCGGCGUACGUGGAAGCCAAGGGGAGGCACGGACGACUUGGACGUACGCCAGCUCAUGACUGGAAAAGACAAAUGGCCGUGCUUCUCCAAGCUUGCUCCUUGCCAGUACAUCGCAGUCUAACCACACGGUCGAGCUUAUGUUAGAGUCAUGACGACCUUUGAACAAGGUCAUAUAUUUUUUUUUUGGAAACGAACACGAUCAUAUAUUACACUACUGGGGCGCUGCAUGCCUAUCCAAGAACACCAAAAUUCGCAUCGGAAUCCCCGGUACCGGCCAAUGAACACACCGCACGCAAGCGUGCCGCCAUGCAGUUAAUUGGCAUGCACCACCACUGUCUGAUCAAAAUCGGGAUAGUUUAACUUGACUUGCUACUCCCUUCAGGGACUCGUAAAACUUUUGGAUACCUCGUAAUACAUCUAGCUAGUUUCAUAACAUAAGAAACCUUAUGUUUAGAUUUGUCUCAAAAAUCACACACAUUUGUAGUCUCAUAACUUCGUAACCCUCUCAUCAUACUAAGUACUCCCUCCGUUCCAAACUGUAAGUCAUUUUGACUUUUCUAGGUUCAUAGAUAUUAUUCUGCACUUAGACAUACACUAUAUAUAGAUGCAUAAUAAUAUCUAUAAAUAUAAAAAAACUAAAACGACCUACAUUUUGGAAAUCUAUUAGAACAUUAAUAUAUAUAACCUCCUGUAUGGUAGUUCAACUAAUAAUAUGUAUUAAAGUAUACCAUCAUAAAUAGAAAAGGCUAUAUAUAUUGUGAGUUUGUUUUAUCAUCAUGAAUAUAGUUAAUCAUAUGUCGUCAAUCUAUAUAAUUAUUUUUUGCCGUUUAUAGUCAAAAUUAAAAAUUAAACGUUUGAUUCUGGAAAACCUAGACAAACGUCUAAGGAAACACACAUUUGUGAGUACUGAGUAGAGGAAGUGUGUUUGCUCAUACACAUCCAUUUUAUUACCGCCACGAAUGCCUAUCCAAAUCCGGAUUUACAUCGUUACUUACGGCACCACCAAUCACCAACGUACGUGGUACUGAAAGGUGAAGCCAUGUUUCACCUUUACGUACUGCUGGCUGCUGGGAGAGGUGAUCGAGUCACCACGUAAAGUCGAUGGAGAAACUCGUACACAACUGCUCUUCUUCUUUACCCUAAAAAAAAAGAAAGAAAAACUGCUCAUGUUUUGCAUGGAGACAGAGUGCGCACCUAGCUUUAAUCGACGGCGCCCUAUUUGACCUUCGAUCACUCCCAUUUAAGUAUUUUAACUAUAUACCUUGCUAAUAACAAUAUUAAUACACUCUUCUUGUACCGGCUAAGCACAAGUCAGGUAAAUCUUGGUUACUAUAAAUUUUCUUAUCUUUCGAGAAACUGAUCGGUAUGUACAAUGGGCCAAUCGUUCUAACCGAAGAAUCACGAAAGUGAAUCUAUAUCCUAGUUUUAUUUUAUACAUAACACGUACGCUCUCAUGCGCGUCCACGCUCUGGCUCGCAUCGACACUGAGAUCGAGGAACCCACCUAUAAAUAGAGCUGAGACUUCGGCUAGCCUCCAGCGUCCCAACCCUAGCUCAGCUCACUCCCAUCACUAGAGAGAGAGAGUGUGUCAGUCAGUGAUCACUGACAACAGUAGGAUUUUUUUUUUAAAAAAGGAGCGAACGACUAGUGAGUAUCGACCGAUCUGACGGCAGCAUGGACGACACCACGUACAACGCCAUCCUGGUGGCGCUCCUGGCCGUGUCCAUCCUCCUGUUCCUCCGCCGUGGUGGCUCCCGGCGCCGCCCGCCGGGGCCGCGCACGCUGCCGGUGGUCGGGAGCGUGCACCACGUGGUGAACACGCUGGUGCACCGCCGCCUGCGCGACCUGGCGGCCGUGCACGGGCCCAUCAUGACGCUCAUGAUCGGCCCGACGAUGCCGCUGGUGGUGGUGACCUCGCGGGAGCUCGCCCGCGAGGUGCUCAAGGUGCAGGACCCCAACUUCGCCAACCGGCCCCGGCUCCUCGUCGGCGGCAUCUGCGGCUACGGCUGGGCCGACAUCAUCUUCGCCCCCACCAGCGACUACUGGCGCCGGAUCCGCAAGCUCUGCAUCCACGAGGUGCUCAGCCCGAAGCGGAUCCUCUCCUUCCAGCACAUCCGCGAGGAGGAGGUGCGGCGGCAGGUGGAGGCCAUCCGGGCCGCGGCGGCCGCCGGCGCGCCGGUGAACGUGACGAGGAUGGUCUACGACAUCAGCAGCCGGACCAUCUCGAGGUCGUCGUUCGGGGAGGUGAGGCCCGACAUGCCCGUGUUCCAGGACGCCAUCAAGCGCGUCAUCGGGCUGUCCAGCGGCUUCAACGUGCCGGACCUGUUCCCCAGGUUCAGGGAGGUGCUCGGCGAGGUCAGCGGGAUGAAGCGAAAGCUCCGGGAGAUACACCGGACGUUCGACCGCAUACUCGUCGACAUCAUCGAGAAGAGGCGGGGGGAGCGCGCCGCGAGGAUCGCCGCCGGGAAGGAGGUCGUCGACGAGGACGUCGUCGACGUCAUGCUCACGCUGCAGCAGAGCGGCGACAACUCCUGGGGGUUCCCGGUCACGGACAACACCAUCAAAGCUGUCGUCUUGGUAUCUUACUGCAUCUUUAAUUUCUUUCUUAUUUUGAAGCAAGACUUUAUUCCAUCCGAUUCGAUUUCAUAUAGACAAAAAAAAUUGUGCAGGAUAUGUUCGCCGGCGGCACGGGGACGUCCGGCUCGUCGACGGAGUGGGCCAUGUCGGAGAUCGCGCGGAACCCGCGCGUGAUGAGGAAGCUGCAGGAGGAGAUCCGGAGCACGUUCCGCGGGAAGGAGACGAUCACCGAGACGGACCUCCGCAACAGCGACCUCAAGUACCUGAAGCUGGUGAUGAAGGAGGCGAUCCGGCUGCACCCGGCGGCGCCGCUGCUGGUGCCGCGGGAGAGCAUCGGCGCGGCGGAGCUCGGCGGGUACGUGGUGCCGGGCGGGUCGCGGAUCGUGGUCAACGCGUGGGCCAUCUCGCGGGAUCCGCGGUACUGGAGGGACCCCGAGGAGUUCCGGCCGGAGCGGUUCGCUGAGGACGGCGCGCCCGACUUCCACGGCCUCCACUUCGAGUUCACGCCGUUCGGGGCCGGCCGUCGGAUGUGCCCGGGGUACAACUACGGGCUCGCCGGCAUGCAGCUGGCGCUGCUGCAGCUCAUGUACCACUUCGACUGGAGGCUGCCCCCCGGCGUGGACGAGGUCGACAUGGAGGAGGCCAUGGGGCUCGGCGUGAGAAGGAAGAACCCCCUCAUGCUCUGCGCCACUCCCUACGUCCCCGCUGCUCCGGCAGUGUCCGCCGGCUAACAGCUGGGUGCUCGAUUUUGAAUAAGUUGAGACUGCUCGGAACUUCCAUCCUCAACAAAAAUCUCGAUUGUCUUUGUCCUGGGACUAAAGAGACUUUAGUCCUAGGUCUAAAUUUUGUAGUCCGUGGAGACACCUAGAGGUGAUCUUUAGUCCCGGUUGGUAAUACUAACCGGGAUUAAAGGAUCCCCCACGAGUUAUUACAAAAGAAUUGCAUCCCCUACUCAGUUAAAUGUGCUGUGUAGGUGAGAUGGUAAGAAAACUAUACGUGAGGGGAGCCGACCUUUAACCAGGAGGUCUGAGGGUGAGGCUCCAUCCUUUGGACCGCCCACGAUGACCUGCAGGAUGAGACCAUGCGCGGCCGUACACGCCCACACGCCCUGGCAUCAUCAUCACCUUCGCUGUUAAGGAGAUCCGUCAAGAUCAAGGCCAUACCACCGCGCCAGGCUCGGUACGGUCCCGCAGGCGAGGUGAGACCUAGCGACAGACGUUACAACGAGGAGCGGCCAGAGCGCACUAAAGAGGUUGGGGAAAGCCGGGACGAGCGGCGCGCCCCAUCCAGGCCACUAAUCACGGCCCGCCCAUUUGUCACCAGUAUGGACGACAACAGGACCCGUCCCAUUCACUGCCACGGAGUUGGCGGAUGAGAUGGGAGCACACCACGGAGUAGGCCGGGCCAUGCGUAAGAAACUCACGUCGCACAGGAGCUACCGUACAAGGCGUGCGAAGUCCACGAAUAGCCAAGGGGACAGGACAAGCAGGCCUCUUGGUGCAAGGAAGACCUGACCACACCACAACCCCCUUCAUUUCUCAAUAUUGUUGCCUGGUCCCUGACCUAUAUAAGGGGAACCAGGCCUUCUCUCUCUCGCAUUCAACGCAUACACCCACACAUCGCACGAACGCUUGCUUGCAACUACCCCAUUGUAAGUCCAGUGCACUUGAUCCAAGGAACAUGACUCUUGCCAAAACUGAAUGUAGUGAUUUUUCCUAACCAGUGUAACUCCUUGUCUCUUGUGUGCUAGCCAUCGGAAGUGAGGAGAGCGCGGUGUACAAUCACUAGUCAGCGGUCCAAAACACCGAUACUCAUGCAUCGCGCACGCGCAUAUUUCGUGUGAAAAAUUGCGUGACUUGUGACUUGUGACGUGCGUGUGUGUGGGGGCCUCCUAGGAAUUUAUAAUAUUUUUUGCACAAAAUCUGUUAGUCCCAGUUGAUAUUACCAAACGGGACUAAAGGAAGGUCUUUAGUCCCGAGUUGUCUAAAGACCGCAACAUUUCUUCUCCAAUAUGACGAAGGUUGUCUAAAGGCUAUUGGUUUGUGUUCUCACCGAACUAUGGAGGUUUGAAGCAUAAAAUGCCAACAUUAACGGUCAUGUGCUAAGUCUCUUGGUUAGAACGGUGUGUUGGACCUCAGCAACAACCAUCUGACGGGUCCUGUUUGGAGACAUUCACAAGCCAUAUGAUACAACACUUCAACCUCAACAACAUUCACAAGCCAUAUGAUACAACACUUCAACCUCAACAAUGACAAAAAUGUUUUGCGACACGUACAUUCUAAAUAGGUGCUAUGCUCACCAUCAAAGGUGUGCUCGAGAUUCUUGUAGGAAGGAGGGGGGCAUGUGCCCCUUUAUUUCUUAAUUGGAAAACUAAAAGAAUGAAAAAGAAAGAAGAUGACAAAAUGGUUGUUGGCCAUUGAGUUAUGAACUGUCGUGUUGGUCCACAGACUCGGUGUAUCUCUCCGGGAACAUGCUUCAAGGGCUAGUGCCGGUGUUCGUAUGCCACAUGCAAACUGAUGUUGUUGAGGUAGCCAGAAAAGGGAACUUCUGCCAGCUGGACCCAGCACGUGUGAUUUAGAUGUUUAAAAGUUGCUGUCGAUAGCCACUGUUUUACAUUUCCUUGUGUCCCUUGCGGAGAGCUGACGGCGCAACAACACCUAUGCGGGUUGGCUUAGUAUACACACUACGCCACGAAUAAGGAAAAUGACCAUCACAGGGUCGUUACAGGGAUCAACAUGUCUCGUGUAUUCCUCAAUGGAACCAUCCACCUGACGUUCUCCAAUCUUUUGUCUCUUGAAACAAUCAUUUUGUGUGGCAACAACAUCAGUAGCACCAUCCCACUAGUCCUCACGCAGCUGUCGUCGCUCCGCCUCCUAACAUUUCUGACAAUGUGCUGCAGGGCAGCGUGCCCAAGUUCAUCCAGUGGCCUGGAGGUAUGGGUGGAGGGGAACCCCGAGCUGAUUGUCUCCAGCGUCUCACCGUCAAACAUGUUAGAUGCACUUCACCAUCGUCUUUGUGGUUGUGGUAGUGCUAGUGUCGAUCAUCUAGUUUACGCCUUCAUAGCUGGUCUAUCUAGUUUACACCUUCAUAGCCGAUUUGUUUGCAAUCCGGCUAAAUGGGUACUAUAUUUACCAUUAAAGAUUAUAUUUACCAUUAAAGGUCUGAUCGAGAUUCUUGUGUGUGUUGGGGAGGGGGGGGCAAGUGCUCCCUAAAAAUAAAAGAACGAAAAAGAAGAAGAAAGAAGAGGGUCAACUAAAGGGGUGUUGACCUUUGGGUUAUGAACCGUCUGGUUUAAAUCAUGAAUAUAUAAAUCAUUUUAUUUUUUUAGUUAGAAAACCUUCGUAACUUUGAUAACACAUACUUACUCGUAAAUAUAAGUCCAUUUAGGUUUAUUCUAAGCCAAACAUUUUCUAAAUUUGACAACCGAUAUGUAAUAUUGAUUUACAAUUGUUUGUCAUGAAAUACACUUUGACAAUAUAUAGCUCUUUAUAUGAAACAAUAUGUUUUUAUGGAUAAUUACAGUAAAAAGGUAAAUUGGAGACUGUGUUUGUGCCCAAUAAACUUGUAUUUAUGACCAGAAAAAAUAUUACAAAGAGUUUAGAUAUAUUUCCGAUAUAAGAUUGAUGUUAGUUGAUUCAAAAUUUUAAGUGAUUUAUCUUUUUAUCUUUAGAUAUCAUAUUUUUUUUAUUAAAGUUGAUAGUCAAAGUUCCAUCUUGUAGAUAUCAAUGUCCUAAAGCAAUUAUAUUUUCAACCGAGAGGGAGUAAUUAACAUAUAGAUACAGGAUCAAAAAGCAUUCUCCCUUCCACGCAAUACUCCGUAUGCCGCUAUAUACGAUUGAUUGUUUGAUUUCCUGUUUAUAUCAUCAUAUGCAAGUAGUAAUCAACAUACAGCUGCACAAUGAUAUGAUUGCUUGGCCACAAUCUACAGACUGGUUUAUAGUAAUGAAUUCUUUAUUGCUUGUUUUUUAUUUGGUAAUAAUAUUUUCCAAUAUAUAUUCCGUAAACAUGCAUGCAUGCAUUCCGGUAAUGUGAAGCUUUUCUGUUUGGAAGGACGUGAAUUAUGGAAGUUUCUGUAAGAGUGAUGACGGCAACCUAAUAUAGUACGUGGUCGUAGUCGGGUUGAGUACACCACAAAACACGAAAACUUUGAAGCAAUAUUGCAAGAGUACUCGCGAAAUCGAUCUAAUGGCAUGCCGAACGCCGAUGCCGGUUCUUGCCGUCCUGGUGAUCCUCGGCGCCCUCCCCUGGAUCAUAGCCGCGGCGCCGGCGAGCCCUGACGACGCCGCGGCCAUGCAAUCCAUCGCUAACACAACCGGCGCCGGCAAGGCGCGCUCGGCUGGGGCGUGAAAUCGGCCGACCCUUGCGACGGCUCGUGGGUGGGCGUGAGCUUCGACGAUGCCCGCCGCGUCGCCUCCAUCCGCGCCAGCCGCGCCGGUCUGGCCGGCUGGCUUUACGCGUCCGACCUCAGCAAGCUUACCUUCCUGACCGAGCUCGACCUCGGCUUCAACGGUCUCACCGGGCAAACCGGCGGCGACCUCCCCCUCCUCCCGACGCCGCUGCAGCACCUCCGCACCCUCGACCUCCGAUCCAACCGCUUCCUCGGCGUCCCCGAAGGCUUCUUCGCCGCCUUCCCCGCCCUCGAGACGAUAAACCUCGACGACAACCCCACGGUAGGCCCGAGAUUCCGGCCGGACGACGUGCUAACCUGCUCCGGCCUACAGAGCUUCUCGGUCAACAACAUCAGCCUGUCGCUGUUCCCGGACUACCUCGGCAGCGCCGCCGCGUUCCCGGCCCUAGAGAGCCUGUCGCUCGCGAGGAAUGAGCUCCACGGGGCCAUACCAGCCGGCUUCGGGAACGACGGCAACAUAGUUCCUCGACGUCAGUGGUCAGAGUUCACUCCUCACCGGGCGCAUAGACCAGUUCAUCGCCGCCAUGAAGAGCCUCGUGGAGGUCCGGUUGGAUCACGAUGCCUUUUUCGGACCGCUCCCUGACGCCACCAACCUCGUGAACCUGCGCGUCUUUGAUGCUGCCGGCAACAAUUUUGUGGGGUGCCCAAGUUCGCCAACACUGUUUCAGUCGAUGUUUCUGCAAACCCAAGAAUCGACAAGCCAUGCUAGCUCCUGUACUUCUUCUUCUUCUUCUUCUUCUUUUGCAAUUGCACGGAGGCAAGGAGCACUAAGUUAUUCUUGAUCGUGCGUGAUUCUUAGUGGUUUUAAAUAAUUUUCUGAUAUCAUCUAAGAUUCGAAGAGGAAAGGAAAAUAGAGUGUGCAAACCGUUAUAUCAAUAAAUGACUCGUAGAGCCAUAUAAAGUCGAUGGUACAUGGGCCAAGAUGGCAAAAUUGCUACAUCACUCAGCCAUCUCUAUAGGCACAAACAAGCCAGCACUACAUGUAGCAACAAAGAAGAGCCUGCCAAAGAAUGAAGUAACACGGACUGCAAAGAGUUGAUCAUAAAUCAUAAAAAUAAUUCAACAUUUUUUUCGGAAAAAAAUAGUUCAACACGAACGCAAGGAUUGUGGAUUUGUAGAGCAGCUCUAAGAAGGCAGCUUGUGGCACUCUUUGGAUUUGCUCGACUUGAGCAUUCCCAUUUCAUCAUCAUGUAAUGCAAAUGUGUGAUUUCCUUCUUAAAUUUGUGAGACAGGUUGUGGUUGUUUCCUGGUUAACAGUAGGUUUUUGUUACAACUUACAAGACAGUCAUAUCAUGAAAGAAACAAACAGCGCAGAACAGAACUAUGAGCAUAUAUUCUGUGCGAAGAGCAGCUGACAGUUUCGAACACAAACAAAAAGUAUCUAAGAUUCUUUUUCCUAGCAGGCCUGGCCAAAUAGACAGGUAUGUAGCACGCAAAUGCAAUCGCCCUCCUUCUUUAGAUGCGCACUGGAGUGUUUCACUGCACAUAUCAUGUGGAGGCACAGACAGAAGUAGUCCAAGUCGCUGUUGUGGGAUGAAAAAAAUGGAAUUCGCUGCGAAUAGCAUCUGGGAUGUGGUUUGCUAGGCGAUCAUGCAUGUUUCCAGGCUUCCACCACAUGUACACCUCUGCAAAACUAGGAAAAUGGAAGUCUGGAACAACCGAACAGAGUCCUUAUCACGGAACCCCAACGCAUCUCAAAGCGCGUGGCACACUGGCACUUGAAGUUAUUAUAGUGCAUAAUAUUCUCAGCGAAUUCAACCCCCCCACGCCCCCCCCCCCCCCCCCCCCCCCCCCCCACAAAAAAAAAACAUCCCACACACCAGCACUCCGCACGCACCCGGCAGUCGUGGAUUGCUUUUGCUUGGUUGGCGUCUGUCAGGUGUCCGCUACUUGAAGAGUGUCACAUUUUCACCUCAGAGCUCCUCAACCUGUUUACAAGGACCUAAAUUGUAUGGAUGAACCAUUUGGGGACUAAUGGUCUCCAUAUUCCAUUUUGGGAAUUUACUGAAUACUUGCUAGCCAGGAUUUUAAAGGGUCAGCCCUUCAUACAAAAGGGUCUCCCCCUCCAGCCAGUUAACUUUUUUUAUGAUUUUAUCCACAAUAGAUUGGAUAUCUUCUUUUCUAGCUUAGAGUAGUGAAAAGAAAUGCCUAGAUAUGUAAAAGAGCGACUACCAUUCUUAUAGCAAAAAUGUCUGGCACAAGCACUCACCUCCUCCUCCUCCUCCUCUAAGCCUAUCCACAUCAUGUCACUCUUUUCAUAAUUGAUUUGUAAAGUUCAUGGAACGGCCGGCUCAACCUCUCAGGAUUAGCGCAGCUCUCUAUUUAUAUCCUGGAAUAUUACAAGUGUUUGAGUUACACAGGACUCAAGUCCUAAACGUAUGGUUUCACUAGCUGGUCCUAGUAGGAUCUUAAAACUCUAGCGCGCCUAUGCUAGGAUAAUAAUCCUACUCGUAUUACAUGUACACUAUCCUGAUUUUCAUCCCUGAUAGCUGUUCAAGUAGAUCCGGAUCCAUUUAAAAUUUCUGGCUUUAUUGUAUAGGUCAUUGUUAAGAAAGAGGGAGGUGUCAUCAACAUAUUGUAUGCUGAUGACCAUACUAGGAGUCCAGGACACAUUCGGCAACAAGCCAAAGACUACGCCCUGCCGCUUUCAUCAACAUUCUGGUGAACACACCUAAGCCCUUGUUUACUUCACCCCCAACUCCCAACUUUGGCACUAUGCAAAACGAAGAUUCCCCAUCACAUCAAACUUGCGGUACAUGCAUGGAGUACUAAAUAUAGAUGAAAUUAAAAACUAAUUGCACAGUUUUGUUGCACUUUGCGAGACGAAUCUUUUGAGCCUAAUUAGUCAAUGUUUGGGCAAUAAUUCACAAAUACAAACGAAACGCUACAGUGUGCUACAGUGCCAGCACAGUAAUUUGGCACCUCCCAAUUUGACCAACUAAACAAGGCCUAAAUUGAAGAGAAGGGGGGGCUGGGGAACAGGGGCCCCACUGCUUAGGCCCUGUUUGGUUCCUUUAGGGACUAAACUAAACUUUAGUCCCCCUUUAUAUAGGGAUUGAAGUUUAGUCCCUCCUAUUUGAUUCUAGUGACUAAAGGAUAUUAAAUGAGUUAAACAAUGACCAACAUGCCCCUAAUCAUUGCUACCCCUGCCCUUCUUCUUUCUCUACCUCCCCACGUAGGCACGCAUAGCACACGCGCGAGCGGCAGUGCGGGGGUACGGAGGCGGCGCAGGGUGGCCGGGUGCGGCGGGGUGGGGUGCGGGGGGGGGGGGGAGCUAGUCACAGACGGGGCAUUAAUGAGGGGUACAGGGUGUCUAGGGUACCUUUUAGUCCUCAUAAACAACCCCUUGGAGACUAAAGGGCUAAACUUUAGGGAAUAAAGUUUAAUAAAGUUUAGCAACUUUUAGUCACCCUGUUUGGCAUUUUAGGGACUAAAAAGGGACCAAACUUUAGUCCUAAAGUUUAGCAAGAGCAAACCAAAAGCAAACCAAACAGGGUCUUAAGCACCUUCCCUGUUUUGAAAUAUACAAUGUUUUUCAAGAAGCCCUGGUUGCCUCUAAGAGGGUAUCCAACAGUUUGAGAUAGUUCCUAGCUCAACGGGAAAGAGAAAUAAAAGUAAGUUGGUCUAGGAGAAAUAAUAGUAAGUUGGUCUAGGAGGAUAGCUCGAGGCUCAUGCAGUGAGAGGGAAGAGUAUUGGGAAACGUGCAGCUCUUCACCACAAGCUAGCUAGGAUAUUUUUACACUGUUCAUUAUUUAAAACCUCUUGUUGGAGACACCUAACCAUACUCCUCACCAAUCACCCGUCCGAUCCAUUUACCAUCAAAACCCCGAGAUGUUAACAUCUCAUCUAGAAAGUCCCAAUUCAUCCCGUCAUUACCUUCUCGUAGCCAUGUUUAUGUGUAUUAAUCAUAAAGCAUCUUUUUGCCGAAUAAUCAUAAAGCAUUAGAGAUACUUGACAUGUUGCCUAAUCGAUUUCUGUGAUCAGAUCUCCUCCCCAUCGUAAAUUGUAAGUCAUUUUAGCUUUUUUAAGUGUACACAUGUUUGUAUGCACCUAAAUAUAGUUUAUGUCUAGAUGCAUACAAACACCUAUAAAUUUAGAAAAGUCAACCUAAAAUUUGAAAUGAAUCUAAAAAAGUUAAAAUGAUCUAAAAUUUUGAAACGGAGGAAGUAGCAAGGAGAAAUAUAGAUCUUCUUUUAUAUAACUAUACAGGUGCAUCAACAGUUCAGCAUUCCCUGCCGACCUUUGGGUUUCCACCAAGGUCGACGUCAGUUCCCGCGGGGAACUUGGGAAUACCACACAGGUCGUUGGUGGCGACGCUGACGCGACGGAGGUUCGCAAGAUGGGUGGCGUCCGGCAGUGGCCCGAAGAAAUUGUUGUGAUCCACACGGAGCUCCACGAGGUUCUCCAUGCCGGUGAUGAAUCUCAGGAUCCCGGUGAGUUUGCUGUAGCGGCUGUUCUGGGCGCCGACGUCGAGGAACUUGAUCUUGCUGUUCACCCCAAAGUCCGGACGUACGACUCCCCACAGCUGGUUCCUCGCCAGCGACAGGCUCUCCAGGUCCGGGAACAAGCUGGCGUUGCCGAAGAAGUUUGGGAAGAUGUUGUCCAUGUUGACGUUGUUGGCCGAGAAGCUCCGGAGGCGGCGGCAAGCGGUCACGUCGUCCUGGAGGACCGCCGGGUCGGACAUGUCGUUGUCGUCGAUGGCGAACGUCUCGAGCGCCGGGAACGCGGAGAAGAAGCCGUCGGGGAUGUUCAGGAACCUGUUGGAGCGGAGGUCGAGGACGCGGAAGCUGGUGAGCGGCUGCCGCAGGCGGGGCAGCUCGAAGCGGCCGCCGACCUCGUUGAAGCUGAGGUCGAGCUCGACAAGGGACGUGAGCAGGCUGAGGUCGGCGGGGGGAAGCGCGCCGGAGAGCCCGCCGCGGCUGGCAUUGAUGGAGGUGACGCGGCCCGCGCCGUCGCAGCGAACGCCGGCCGGCCCAGGUGCCGCCGCAUGGGUCGGGCGAGCGGACGCCCCAGCCGAGCGACUUGGCGGCGCCGGUCGAGUCCGCGAUGGAUUUCAUGGCCGCGGCGUCGUCAGCGUUCGUCGGCACCCCAGGUGGGAGCGCCGACGAGGAGGAGGAACACCACAGACUAAGAUGGCAAUGGGGACCCGCGACCCGAUACCUGACAGGUAUUUACUCCAUUAGGAUCCAAAUAUGGACUAAACAAAGUACCCACGGGUACGUAAAUGGACCAAACCCUUCACCCAUCGGGUACGCGGGUAUGGGUAUGUUCCAACAGUCCCCAUACCCGUUAACCCAUGGGUGAAAAAUACCCGAUCCAAAAGUAGAGAAGCCCACCAGUCCAUAAGGUAACCCUAAGUAUAUAAUCUUAUCCCCAUUCCCCACCCCUCCCAACCCUAUCCCACCCAGCCACCAGCGCACCACUGGUCCCCUGCCGGUCGUCGAAAAAAAAAGCGCACAGCGCUAGCUUCGCUAGUCGCUACUCCUACUCACCACGACCGCCGCAAAAAACAAGUCAACAGCGCCUGGCCGCCUGCACGACUGCGCCCGCCUUGUGACCUCGUUUUGCUUUUGCAUCGCUGACUCACUGUCGCACUCCAUCCCAAAUCCAAGAGCCAGGAAGCCGCCACAUCCGAUGCCAUGCCGCCGACAGAGCAAGGAAGCAUCAACGGAUGGUGAUUCUUCUCCAUUCUCCUUCUCCCCUUCAUAUGCUUUGUAGGCACCAGGCGCCCAGGCGCUCCUUGCCUUCUUCAGUCCUUCUCCCUCGCACUAACCACCUUGUUCACUAUGGCGUCAAGGAACAUCGUGGAGGUCCUCGAAGACGGUGACUGCCUGAAGCUGCUGGAUCCCAAGCUCGUCGACGCCGUGAAUAAACUAUUAGUGGGUACGGGUGACCCGUCGGGUAUGAUUUACCCGGUCGGGUAUGGAUCUGAGGAAAAUUCCCCACCCAUAGCGGGUAUGAGGAUUCUGGCGGUCUCAAAAUUUUAUGGCAGGGAUGGAUCUGAGGUGACCAUACCUGAUGGGGAUUUAACCAUUGCCAUCCUUACCACAGACGCCGACACGUUGAUUGAUGGGGACAUCGAUCGAGCAGGGAAUUUGCAUUCGCCCACUUAUGUACAGGUGGUUCUUGCCACGCAUGCAGCCGUGCCAUCAUGGUAGUACUAUGGAAGAAAUUUAUUGCCAUCAAAUUACUUGCUUUACAGCAAAUCGAAUAUGGCAGGAAAUCACUUGAUGUUUGGAAUGAGGAGAUGGCGUCUCAUUGAUUCCGAAUUAAAAAGGAAAUCACUUGAUGCUUGAAAUGAGGAGAUGACGUCUCAUAUUUGUGGCACGCAAUACGAUACGAUAUCUCCAAAUUAGGAGUAUCUGAUUUCGCCAUUUAUAAGCAAUUCAAAAACACAUCUAAUCUCAGAUGUUGCACGAACUAUAAGCGUUGAGUAAUACUUCCUCCGUCCCAAAUUACUAUUCAUUUUGGAUUUUCUAGAUACGUAGCUUUUACUAUGCACCUAGAUAUGUAUUAUGUCUAGAUACGCAGCAAAAGAUAUGUAUCUAAAAAGUCAAAACGAAUAGUAAUUUGGGACGGAGGUUGCAUGGAAAUGGCAUGCGCCACUUGACCUCGCAGACGUAUACUAUCCAGAGCAAUUUGCUCGGUACCACUGAAAAGCAGCAAAGACUAUCUGCUCUCUGAAAGGGAGAGAGAACUUUGCCCUUGCUACCGUCCUCCUGAACCUGACUGCUCCCAGUCCGACAACAAGACCGACUCCCGUUGCCACCGCGCACCAGUUACCUCCACCCUCCCCACCACAACACUAGCUGCCACCACGACUCCACACACGCCCAGUGACCCGACCCCCAAGCACAAGACCAGUUCCUGGGCACGCUGCAGAUUAUAUUGAAUCAAAACUAAAAUCUCCUGCUAGAACGGUCUCAGAAAAAAGACAACUCAUCCUAGCUUCAGCUCCUCCUCCACCAUCCAAGUAGACAAAGUAUCAAACCGCAGGCAAAGCUAUACUCUAUAGUUGUACACUAAUCUCUUUCUGUUUUCCACUAAAACAAUUAGCUAUACUUCGCACGAGGGAAGAUGAUCCUCCAGAAUUUAUUUCAGUAGUGACCUGGAUCCUAGCAAAUGCUCCACGGAUUUAAUUUAUUUCGGUAGAGAUUUGGAUCCAAAUCCAACUUGUCCAACACAUGCCGCAAGUAGUGAGUACCAGCAUAAGCAACUAGCGACUAAAGCAAAGAUGAACAGUAAUUGUCUAUAUGCUACAGCUAAAUGCAGAACAGUGUUCUUUGGAUUUCCUGGAGAUGUAAAAAUUCUUGAUACCUUACCUUUCAGCUUAAGGCUGGUCCAAGUCCACCACCCAGAAGGAUCAUCAGCCAUAUAACUCGUGGGAAGUCUCUGAAGCUUGUAUUACCUGGAGCAUUGAAGAUCUAUGCUAGACAAAUGAAGGCAUUGAAGGAGUGUUAACUUCUAGACAGAUUCUAUCUGAAGUUUCGUGUCUGAGGCUCGGAGCAGUCAGCUUGAGCAUUGCAACUGUCUGAAUUGUCUAAAGCCCUUGCUCUAUAGAAAUGGAACUGGGCAUCUAUUUGAUGUUCUAUGAGUGUAAAUGGAUAUAUUUGUCUUCUGCAACACUGCUUAAGCCCAAAGCAAUCAGCAAAUACCACUAGCAAGCAGCAACCUCUUUUCUGAACAAAGUGUCCUGUACUCCUGUUACAUGGUUCUAGCUAUUGCAUGCUCAGCAGCAUGCAAGAGAGAAAUUGGUCAAGAAACUAGAUAGAUCAUGUAGCAGAUCACAAUGCAACUUUGAGGUAAACAUGAGACCUAAAUUUGGACCUUUCUAAUACAUGCAUUUUUUGCAAAAUAUGGACAUUUAUUAUCCCUUCGGCAUAAAUAAACAUAAACAGGAAAAGGAAACAAAGAUUCACAAGUUGCAAUCCAUCACUAGCAAGGCCAAGAAAAAGGAAGUAAAGGAAGUAACAAAACAAUCAUCAUCCUGUAUAAACAAAAGGUAGGUAUCAAAGCAAAUAGUAUGAAAGUUAAAAAAUAGCAACUUAGUUUACAUGGAUGCUCAACUGUCUUGCAGUAUUACUCUAAAAAAAAACUGUCUUGCAGUAUUACUCUAAAAAAAACUGUCUUGCAGUAUUUAUCAGGUCAAAAGUAUGAGUACGAAUACAUACAAGCACCAGCAAAUAUAUCACCUAAUUAGAGUAGUAGCCAAGAUGCUAACUUCUCCAAAUGGAAUUCUUGUUUAAUGUCCUGAUGAGUAGUUGAGGACCCCAUAAGCAACACGUUCAAUACUUAUUACUCAGUGCUGGUAACUCUGAGAAAUAGGGAACAUAUGAAGCAAACCCAAAGGAGUCACUGACAGUGUGGAGAGCACACACUUCCCCAGUGUCCAUAUAAUAAGAUAUCAGUUUAUCAUUCCAUUUAAAGAUGAUUACAUCACGAUCAGGAUGAAUGGCAACCACAUUGUAGUCAAUUCCAGCUUUGCAACUCUUUUCUCCAAACAGGUGCAAAAAGCUCACAGUAUGUUUGAGUACCAGUUCUUGCGUAUCACCUUCCGGAAGAAUCCAGAUGAACAGUUCAUACUCCACAUCAUCAUCAUCAUUAUAUUCACUAGCAGACCGUUCAGAAGGGCCAUCAUUAUUAGUAUAGUAUUCUGGUUCCUCAUGGUUGACAUAAUGCACAAGGCCUUGGGAUUGACCAACAAAAUCAGACAGGAUACUACACUGUUCCUUGCACAUCCGAAAAGGGACAGGGAUGAAUUUCCUUGUCUUCCCUUCCACGUCCACGGCAAUGAUGUGAUCCCCGUCUAAUACCGGCGGACCCUCUCCUAGUGAAUCACAGAUCAGAUAUAGCAUGCCGUUGACAACAGCUCUCUUCCUCUCAGGUUCUAAGCUAUAGCUCUCAUAGCGCCAUCUUUCACAUGGGGCUUGCUUUUCUUCCAGGCUCCAGGCACUUUCACUGUGAGUCCAUGCCCCAGUUUUCGACGAAAAGAUCUGCACCGAUGUCACGCUGGUGAACAAGUCAUCGGUGAACUGGAGCAAGUAGACAUGGGAAGACAUGGCCGGACAGAAAAUCAAAUGAACAGACAUUCCGUUGCACGGCGAUGGAGUCCAGCCGAAGUCAGGCACAGCCAACCAUUGCUUCGUCGCGGGGUUGCACACGACAUAGCUAGGUAUCGAAUCAAAAUCAUAACCACCACGGUCAAGGAGGAGGAGCCCGUGACAGGUAUCCAUAAUCCUAAUGCUCUCAGAACCAUGCAGCUUCCUGAGGAACGAGAAAAAGGGAUCCACGAGGGGCAUUGAUCGUCCCAACAGGUCCACGAACCCCACCCAGCCAUGGCUACGAAUGUUAUCGUCGCCGGCACCUUCAUCGUCCCCGUCGCGAUCGCGGCGGUGGUGUAUCUCGUAGAAUAAACCCACAAGGGUUUGGGGGAGCUUACAGCGGUGGAUGGGGUUGGCGAUCAGGUCGCGCCAGGCCUUGGAGACGCACUUGAAUCGGCAGAGGGAUCUGAAGGGGACGCGGGAGAGGAUCUCCACCAGAGGAUCAUCGGGGAGGCCGGCCACCUCAGGCGCCUCGGGGUCGGGGAAGUCCAUGCCACCGGGAACGGGGGCGACGCCGCAGAAAUAAACUGCGAAUCGGAGGACCCGGAUCUAUGAGGGGAUGACCGCGAGAGGAAACGAGAUCUGGGAGGGCGGGGGGUAGCGUACCGGUCGUCGGAGAUCGCUGGACUCGACGAUCGGCGGCGCCGGCCGCCGGAGCCGCGACCGGAAGACCAGCUCCGCCGGCGAGGUUCAGCGAGUGCGGUCGGUACCGAGCUGCCGAUGCGGCUCGCAGGAUAUGGCCAAGCGCCCGAGAAAGGAUAGGAAUAAAUAGCUUGGGGAAUUUGGAAAUCGGGAGGAAGAAGAGGAGCCAAGAGCGGCGGCACCGUCUCACGUUUGCCUUUUGAGUUUACAGUUUGCACUGGCGGGAUUCGGGGGUUCAGUGUACGACAAGAGAUAGAGAGAGCUUGGAGCCCGGCCGGGGACGGGACCCCUUCACGGCUUCACUAGCACCGUUGAUCCUCCAUUAAGAUUAGAGAAUGAAUUAAUGGACGGGGAUUCUUGUUACUAGGCUUGACGAUGAAUGAAGUAUAAUAAAGUGUGAAUUAACCUUGCUCCAUUCUAGGUGAAAUAACCAAUGCAAGUUAGUCAUUGGAGGUUAAAAGUUAAAACUAAAGUGUGUGCUAGUGAAGAUGGUCUGUCCUGGCAACCCAAGCUCUUGAUUUCUCGCGUCCACUAGCUACACUCCCAAAUCUCGUGUCAGUGCAAACUGCAAAACUCCAAAGGCAAACGUGGGAGAUGCCACGGCUCUUGCCUCUUGGUUCCUGUCUCGUUCCUCCCAAUUUCCCCAAGCAAUUUCGGUUCCUCUCUCUUUUGUUACGGGAGAACGUACGUGUGAACCUGCUUGGUCCAUCCUAGGAGAAUAACCAAGUUAGUCCUUGAAGUUUUAGCUAAAGCUUGAAUGUCCAUCAAAUCCUUAAAACUAUAUCUUCUUUGAUUCGAAUUGGUCCUUGGAUGAUGUGGAGCGCCACAUGUCUGCAUGACAUGGCAACAUGUUGUUACCUAUCGUGGAUAGAUGUUGUGGCCUUGGUUUGUCGCUUACGCAUGUAAUUAACUCCAUAUCAUCUCAGGAACAUAAUUCGACCAGAGAGGGAUCAAGCAGCAACCAAAAGGACAAAACUUAAACUCUAUGGAGCAUAUUGAGCUUUGAGUGAAUUUAGGGUUGCAAAAGAUUAGGAAGCUGCCUGGCUCUAAGAGCAUUAUGCUCUUGAAUACCUAUAAAGGGCUUCCCCUUGAGCAUAGCUAAUAAUAUAAUUCACACACCAACGAGCUAUAUCGUGUGCAACUGUACUACAACGCAAUGAGUACCGACGACUAUGCUUAACUCUGGCAUGGACUCUGCCUCCAUACCAAGGAAACGUCACUAUAUGAUUUCAGACCGGACAUAUCUUACCACUUCUACCUGGUUCAGUUCACCAAUGACGUGUUCCUGACCAUAACAUAUGUGCACAUCUGCUCAUGAAAAGCUGGCAACGGACUUAUAAUGAAGGUGCCUUGAGUGAGGAUGGCAUUGGUCGAUCCAUGGAUCCAUUGUAGUUCAACUUCAUUAACUAUAUUUUAAAAUUUUGAGUAACUUAAAUUUUCAAAAUAGCUAAUUAAGUUGACCAACGAAUCCUCACUCCAUCCUCACCCAUAACCAGAACUCUAGAAGAAAGGCAAGGCUCAUGGAAAAGAUGGUGUUAUAAGAAAUGCUGCAUAGUGCAUGAGAAGAAUAGUACUGUUGUCGAUGGAAUGUUGUAUCCGGCCUGUGAUUCAGUAGGAGAGGGUCAUGUUUUCGAUGGAUCGGAGAUCACAAGACUGAGGGAAGACUCGCGAAAAAUAUCCUGUGCAGUUUCAGAUGCGCAAAGAACAGUGUAGUACAUUGUCCAAUUUUAUUGGUCAACCAAUCCUAAAAGCGUCUGCAUUACAUCAGUGGGGAGGAACCCAAUGCUGAGAAUAAUUAUCCUUACUUUUGGGAAUGUUAAAGAAUAUUUCUUACCAAAAUAAACCCCAAAACAUCAUCCAAAUUGUACUGAUUAGUUUUCCGAGAACUAAACAUAUUCAACGUGAAGUAGAAACAAAAAAUAUUGAAUCUUCUCUCGUGUCAAAAUCAGUAAACUUAUCUCUUUUGAGGACAUGAGCAUAAUUUUAGGUUGGGCCUUUUGCGAUGGCAUUUUAUGAAUUAUAGAGGCAUUUGUUCACAAUGAGGAAAUAAAUAAAAAUGGAUUUGUACCCAUGCAACAAACUGGAAUUCAAAAUUUCAACUUAGUAUAACUUACCCCCGCAGUGUGGUGCUUACGUCGAAGAACUCCAGAGUCUAGAUUACUAUCCUCCCUGUGAAUGCCUUUGGAGUGGAUGUAAAACCGCAAAAGCGUAGCCUGAAACACUUGGAACCUACAAGGACAAAGUAGUUUGUAUGGUAAAAUGUAACACUUGACCUCAUGCCCAUUCAAUCUGAAGACUUCUUAUGAUACUGGUAAAGCAAGAAUGGAAUGGUUCAAAAUAAAUGAUGAGGAUUUCAACACAUUCAAGGUGCAAAAAGGUACUACAUAAGUGCUUUAUAUUGGGACUAUCCAAGUGAUUUAUCAGUGCAUAUGCCAAAUAAAAUAUGAUAUGUUCUAGGUUAAAUAAUUCGAAUGUUCCCGAUAUAAAAAUAUUAUAAGCAUUUAAUGUGUAGAAGGUUCAGUAUGGCUUAUUGAUCACCGCCGAGCAACCUUAUACCCCAUCAGCCUCCUCACCACCCUUGCAUCUGCUGACAAGCACCAAAUUUACCCAUGACAGAGGGAUAGAUUGCCAGAUCUGGCUACAACUGUCAACCUUCUCUCCAUCUCAAACCUUCCUCAUGUGCGCCUCAGAUCUAGCCAAGAGAAGAGGAAUGACAUACCUAGUGCCAUCUUGGCUGAUGACAGCUUGGGCCCCUCAAUCAGUGAUGACUUCCUCUUUCACCCGUGAUGAUGCGUAGGCAAUGGCCACCUUCUCCGUACUAUCGCUCCAAGGAACAUUAUUUUCAUCCUUUUCACCGCCCUUCCAUGUGUGUCGCUGACGUGUGUGUUGGAUCUAGAUACGGUGAAAGGGAGGAGUGCCCGAUUUGGCUAGGAUUUUUCACAUCCUCACCAACUCAGGCCUACCUAUGUGUGCAACCACUGGAUCCCGACAUGGUAGAAAGGAGGGAUGCUAGAUCCACCAUCACCUUUGGCCUAUGACGGCUAUCCCUCGAUCAAAGAUGACUUGCUCUCAUGAAGUGGCGCGGCGGUGGAUCUCCCUUGGGACACCACCACGAUAGCUGGAGGUGGAGAAGACGCCUAUGAAGGGUUCCUUCAGCAGAUCGAUUUGGAGGGUGGCCGGGGGAUUGGGGCGAAGGUACGCCAGCAGUAGGAGAUGGAGCUGCUGACGGCCGCGGAUGAGGGGAGAAUGGGUGAGGAUGGGGGCUAUGCGGCGUUGUGGCGUGGAGUCUGGAGAGGCAAGGGUGGCUAACCCUAGCCGCACCGCUUUUAUGUGCGUGCGGGGAUAGCGCGCCCCUCUUGGGCCGAGUAAAAGGCCACAAGCCCACAAUGGCUUAGGAACAAGUUGGCUCUUCUAUGCACAUAUGAAAAUUUCAUCAGUCUAAAAAAAAUAUGAAAAUUUCAUGUGUGUUCUACCUAUAAUAUACAUGAAAAUAUUUUCUGUAUGUAUAUCAUCAUUUCCCUACCAAUGACUUAUAUGUUAAUAUAUAAUUUCCAUGUUAGCUCAGCCAUAACCUUAAAAAAAAAUCACCCAUAGGGAUAUUCUGGUUGCCAAGAAUAGUUGCCAACAAAUGCAUAUUCUAUUUCAGCCACAUAUGCACCACAUCCAUGGAAAAAAUAUACGAAUGGCACUUUGAGUUUUAUGUUUGUGAUUGUGGACACAUUCGGUUGAAAAGGGUCGCGGAUCCGUGUCAGCAAGCCACAACAUUACAAACUCACUUUUAUAAAAAGCAGAAACUAAUCUGAGGUGCACUAUCCCCUAUAUAAAGGUAAUUUUAGUCUACCUCCCUUGCUCAUGUAUCAAGAAACUGCCAACAAAAAAAAAAAAGUAGUUCUGCCAACUAUAUAGCAGUAUCUUGCCACCACAUAUUACAAACUUCCAAUAAAAUGAAUCAGCAAAUGUCAAAAUUGACUCGACGCCAUGUCAUCUAUGCUUAUCUGGACUCCAACAGUUUGUUUGCUAAAUGUCAAAACCUUGUUACAAAUCAAACGUUAGUCCAUCACUCAUUGAGAACUAUCAAAUUAGAGAUACAUACUAGAAAACAUUUAUACGUCUGUAUCGUAUCUUUAAAAAAACUAUAAGGUAGCAUACACAAUAAUUCAUAUAUUCGUUUGCAACGACGACCACUAGUUUAUGAACUGAAUUGAGAAGGCUAAUACACCAAUUUUGUACACAUAGGAGAGGCGACACCUAAAAUUCCCAAUACAAAGUAAUUUUGCAGUCAAUGUUGCAUUAUGCUGCCUGAGACAGUUCAACUUCAUAGCAGCAAGUGCGGUUUGAAACAACAAAAAAUAACUGAAAUCUCAGAUUCAAAACAUUGUCAUAUGGCAGUAUGGCUUGGCAACAAUCAGUUUCCCUCACAGUAAUUUCACACCGGCAUCUCUAAGAGAGUCUAUCACGGCCUUAACCUUGCCAUGGUACUUCUGUUCUCUUGACAUGGAGACAGAUACUGCAGGGAUACCCUUAAACAGCAAGCGCUCACCAAGCAGCUUUCCAAUCUUUGCUGCCGCAGCAACAUCCCGCGUUGACUCCAUGCUUGGCCUCAGGAGUUUCUCCUGAGAGCUUGCGGAGCAUGUGACUGUGGCCGAUGGAGUGUGUAUGACCUGAGCACUCACAAAAUUGUUUGUGAAAUGCAUCUUCAGAAUAUAGGGCUUCAGAAACUUGGUGAUUGCAGGAGCCAUAGCUGGUGGAGGGGUAACCAUAUCGUCUAAUCAAGCUGACCUGAACAAGGCCAUAAACAAGAUAAGAUAAUUAACCAAAGCACUGACAUUUCAUGCUAAAACUUAAGAUGGACAAGGAUAAAUGAACAAAUAACAUUGAAUUGUAUCUUGUGAUUAUAAAUGAUAAAUCCAGGAUUGCAUACAAAUAUAUUACAUAAAUGAAUGGACCACCAACACUUAAUGGUUCUUGUGACUCUAGGGAAAGCACACGAUAGUAUACAUCAUACUUCACAUUUAGGACAGAGAACUUCAAUGAUGCACUUAAGUAUUUUAGUAUGUAGGAUUAAAGCUACUGCCUUGCUAGAUUUUCUACCAUGUAAUUACACUGAUACCACAUGUUACAUCACAGAGUGAUAAUAUGAUUGCUUUAUCUUCCAAAAGCCAUUCAAGAGUCUACAAAAGAAUAGAUACUCCCAAAUUUGGCUUUGCCAUCCUAUAGCUGUUAAUCAACCAAUCAGGUGUUAACAUAAAUUAUUUGAACAAGGUGACAUACUUCAGAGUCUGAGUUUCUGAAGAACUAAUACAAAUACUAGACAUCAUCGACAUAGACGGAGCCAUAGAUUGCACAAUCAUCUUAGGAUGGAAAGCCAAAAUGCCAAAUCCAUCCUAUGUGGUUGCUGACAGCAGAGUCUUA
rnacentral:lncRNA from 1 species